UUCUCUCACUCUUCGUUUUCAGGUCAGAUUCCACCAGAGAUUCUUCAUCUUACCAAGUUGGUAUCUCUCGAUCUUUCUUCUUCUUUUACGUUUUUUUUCAGAAUCUGUUAUUACUGAAAAGUCAUUUCUUCAUCAACUUGCACGGAACUUAACAAACCUUGAACAUCUUCAUAUGAGCUACGUAAACAUUUCCGCAGAAAUUCCCCAGAUAAUCUCAAACCUAACCUCUCUAAGGUCAAUCCACCUUCGUGAUUGCCAGUUAUUUGGUAGACUUCCUCGGAGUGUUCUUCUCAGUCCUACUAUUCAAUCCAUUGAUUUGGGUUACAAUCCAGAUCUUAAUUCAACUCUCCCAGAAUUCAAUGGAAAUAACUCUAGUCUUGUAUAUUUGGACCCCUCUAAAACAUCUCUUUCAAGUAACAUACCAGACUCCAUCGGCAACCUCGAACACUUGAAAGUUUUGAGAUUUUACGUUUCCGAAUUAACAGGGAAGAUUCCAUCUGCAAUUGCAAGUCUUUCUCAUCUCACCUCUCUAAUCCUUUCUUCUAAUAAACUAGGUGGCUCGAUUCCUUCAUCAGUUGGAAACCUUUCCCGUCUCAACAUUCUCGACCUUUGGUUAUAAUAAUCUUGUUGGGACUCUCCCUUCUACUAUCUUUACCAUUCCUUCAUUGGAUUCGGUUUAUUGGUUUGAAUGCAUCUCUAUCCUCGCAUCUCAAGUCGCUGUCGUAUUUGGAUCUUACCGGCAACCACAUUUCACCAGAAGACAUGAGUUCAGUUUCUAUGCUUUCAGCGCAAAUGCAAGUGUUGAUCUUGUCCGACUGCAAUAUCACAGGGUUUCCAGAGUUCAUAAGAACCCAACAACAUUUGAGUUGGUUAGACCUUUCUAAUUUACAAAAUCAAAGGUCAAGUGCCCGGUUGGUUAUCGAGGCUACCAGAGUUGUAUCAUGUUAAUCUUUCCAACAACAGAUUCAGCGGUUUCAAAGAAUUCCCAAAAGAUCUCUCGAGAAUGCAGAUGAAGGUGAUAAAUCUGAGCAAAAAUAACCUACAAGUGCUGAUCCUCCGCUCUAAUGAGUUUCAUGGGUCAUUACAGUAUCAUCCCCGAGUUGCUUCUUGGUUUCCUCAGCUGCGAGUCAUUGACAUAUCACAUAAUAAUGCCUUCACGGGAACUUUACCGUCUGAGUUCUUCAUGUAUUGGAGUGCGAUGCACUCGGAGGGAGAUCGUUCGGAAUUGAAGUACAUUGGAGACUAUAGUUAUUACCAGGACUCAAUGGUCUUCACAAAUAAAGGAAUAGAGAUGCGCUACGACAGGAUCCUUACAGUCUUCACAGCAAUUGAUCUCUCGUGAAACAGACUCAGAGGAGAAAUCCCUGAAUCCAUUGGUCUACUAAAAAGGUCUUAUCGUGCUUAAUCUGUCAAGCAACGGCUUCACUGGCAACAUCCCUUCAUCUAUGGCGAAUUUCACUCAGCUCGAGUCACUAGACCUAUCGCACAACAAGCUCUCAGGCCAGAUACCUCCUGAUCUCGCGCACCUUACCAACUUACCAACAAAUCCAACCUAUCAUUCACAUAGGACUUUGUGGUCUUCCUCUCGAUGAGUGUGGAACUGUCCAUGACCCGCUACAUUCACGACAAGAAGAUGAAGAUAAUGAAGAAGAGGAAGAAGAAUUCGUGAGCUGGAUUGCAGCUGCCAUAGGUUUCACACCUGGAAUCGUGCUUGGAUUGACCAUUGGAUACUUCAUGCUCUCCUGCAAACCGCAUUGGUUCUCCAUGGUGUUCAACAUCAACAAUCAGAGACGAAGAAGAACUCGUUAGCUCGUUUAUGAGGUACUCUUUUCAUUAAAAUUUCUUAGCAUUUCCCUUACAUCGAUGCAGUCGCUAGAGUUGAAUUUUGUUUUUCUCAUCCUUGUUCACUUUGAUUUAACAAAAGAGAUCUGCUAAUAAGAAACCCUAAUUUAGGGAAUUCAAGACAUUCGAGAAGAUGGAAUAAUGGGGGAAGGAAGAAGAAGAUCGAUCGUUAAGUGCAUUCAGAAUUGGACUUAUAAAGUGGGCUUGAUUAGUUAAAUUUCAGUGACGUUAAGAAAAUAUAAUAAUAAAUAAAUUUUCUCUAGAUUCUGUAAAGGCCAUAUCCAAAUCAUCCAGUGUUCUUCUAUAGUUACCCAAAUUAUUUUGGGAAAAAACCUUAAAAAUACCUCAAGUUUAUAAAUUUUGCCAGAAAAAUACCCAAACUAUUUACGCUUCCUUUUUAAUAUCUGAUAUUUGUCUGAUUGUCUCUUUAAUACUCGAAAAUUCAAAAAUCGUAAGUUUCACUACCAGUUUUUAAUCACGAUUAAUUGUUAAACGGAGACUGUGAUACGGCGUUAAAAAAAUUAAACACGUGGGUUUAACUCUAACCCAAAAAAACAAAAAAACCUGCCUGGACAUACGUAUUGUAUUCUCUUCCCACGUUCUUCCCCAAAUCAAAACAUAAACCCUAAAUCGAUUUCCCCAAAUCGAUUUUCCCCAAUUCAAAUCCAACAAAUCGCUAAUCGAAAAACCCGUACUCUUUACUCUCUCGUAUCGCUAUUUCUCUUCGAAAGCGAUCUGCGUCUUCACGUCGAUUUCGUAUAACCAUAUGAGACAGUGAUUUGCGAGACUCGAAAAAUGAGGUAAGGUUUCUAAAUUCACUGCAUUUGGGCUGUCUAGUGUGGAUAUUUGUGUCGAGUAUGAAGCUUAGUUGGUUUGUUUAUCAAUUUCGUGUUUCGAUUAGUUAUGAGAUUUUUUGAGUGACAUCUUGCUUCUCUUUCGAUAAUGCAGUGACACCAUAAAAAUUAAUUUGCAUUAUGGAGGGCUUAUGUACAUCAAAGAUUCUAAGCGGGUAUACGUAGGAGGUUCGGUGAAGGAGGGAUUAGUUGUCGACCCAGAUUUUCUGACUUGGAGCAUCUUCGAUGAUUUUUGCGACAAAGAAGACACAGGACCGGGCGGCAAGGUGGAACUAGUAUGGUACAAGCUGUCGAACGAGACUGUAGACUCAGCGAGACCUAUAUUUUACCUCUCUUCUGAUGCAGAGUUAAUGCAGAUGUGUGCUGAAGCUAGUGUAGGUGGUGAAGUUGAUGUAUACAUUGAGAAAUGUGUACUUCCUCAGCCUGUCGAGAACGAGGAAAGAGAGAAUGAAGGAAGCGUGAGUCAAGCUCUUGUAUUGUAUCAGGGAAAAGAGGACAAAGGAGGCGAGUCUGAUGGUGAUGAUGUUGAAGAUGAUAAAGCUCAUGAAGAUCCACACUCAGAUGACUUCGCAGCAGGAGAAGAAGUUGUAGAAGAAAGAGCCGAUGAUGAGAGAUUUCAAUCUUUCAUGGCAGAAAUGGAAAAUGGAGAUAAUGCUGAGUUAGGUGAGGAUGGAGAUAAUGCUGAGUUAGGUGAUGAUGGAGAUAAUGCUGGGUUAGGUGAGGUGAAUGAUAGUAUUGGAGAAGAUGAAAAUGCUGAUCAGAAUGAGAGUAGUCCUGAAGAUGAGCACAGUGCACCAAACGCAGAUGGUGAUGCUGAGGCUGAGUUCGAGAGACAAUGUAGGGAUGCUGAACAUCCAGAUCCAGCGGAAGAUACAGACGACGAGUGGGAAGGAUUCAAUAGAGUAGAAAGAGAUAAUGCAAGGAAGCAUUACAGUAAGGAGCGGCCUCCAUACUUUUGGUUACUGCAGACUUUCAAGAGCGGUGAUGAAUUUAAAGAGCAGUUGUUGAGAUAUGUUCUGAAGACAAACUACGAUAUCUACCAAAACAAAUGGGAUAAGAACAAGUAUGCUGCAAUAUGUGCUAAAAAGGGUUGUAAGUGGAGGAUCUACUGCUCGGUGGAGAAAGGGAAAGGGUUGUGGAUGGUUAAAACUUAUCAAGGCAAGCAUAACUACAUGAAGAGUAGCAAGGCUAGGAUGUUGAAGCAGGGUACAAUAGCAAUGCUUUUUAAAGACGAAGCAAGACGAAGACUGGGUAUAAAGUGGACUGACAUCAAGGAUGAGAUCAUGAUCAGGUACAAUCUAUCCGUCUCUAAGUGGAUAUGUACUAAAGCUAGAAGAUUAGCACUAGAUAUGGUCAUUGAAACUCAUAAAGAACAGUUUGCGAAGCUUUGGGAUUAUGAGCAGGAGUUAAGGCGUUCUAAUGAUGUGUCAACAGAGAUUGUGACCAUCUCUCGUCCUGAUGGUAAAUAUGUGUUCGACAGAUUCUAUAUUAGUUUUGCUAAUCUGCGGAAUAAUUGGAAAAGAAACUGUCGACCAAUUAUUGGUCUUGAUGGAGCUUUUAUGAAAUGGGAGCUCAAAGGCGAGAUUCUAGCAGCUGUUGGAAGAGAUGCUGACAAUAGGAUUGUCCCUUUUGCGUGGGCUGUAGUAAGAGUUGAGGAUAAUGAAUCAUGGGCUUGGUUUGUUGGUAAGCUUCAGGCAGAUUUGGAUUUAGGAUUGGGGAGUGGUUAUAGUAUCAUUUCAGACAAAUAGAAAGGGUUGAUAAAUGCGGUUGCGGAUCUCUUGCCAGAAGCUGAGCACAGGCAUUGUGCUAGACACAUUUUUGCGAAUUGGAAAAAGGUUUAUGGGAUGGUAGAGUAUGAAAACUACUUCUGGGCAAUCGCUAAAAGCUCAUCACUUGGUGAGUUCGUUUACAACAAAAGUGCUUUGGAGCAGUUUGAUCCUGUAGCGUGUAAGGAUUUAUUCAAAACAGAACCAAAGGCAUGGUGCAGAGCAUUUUUCAGUCCGCAAGCAAGAUGUGAUGAUGUUUGUAACAAUCUGUCAGAAAGUUUCAACAGGACCAUCAAAGAUGCCAGAAAACUGCCACUGAUUAACAUGCUUGAAGAGAUUAGGAGGCAAGCAAUGAAGCGUACGAGCAGGAGGAAAGAAAUGACAGGGAAAUGUGAUAGCAGGUUUCCACCUAAUAUUAUGGAGAUUUUUGAGGAAAACCGUGUUCAUAGUGAGACCUAUACGGUGCUCCAUAGCAGUGAAAAUUUGUUUGAAGUGGUUCAGAAUGAUUGUAGCUACGAGGUUAAUCUGCUACAUAAGCACUGCGCAUGUAACACAUGGAAUAUCACUGGAAUACCGUGUAGGCAUACUAUUCAUGUCAUCUCUGACUUUAACCGUGACCCUGAAGAGUAAGUUCUUUUGGCCGUGGCCAUUUAUAUUCUUUUUUAUUUAUAUUGUAUGCUUAACCGAGUCUCCUUUUCCAUGUUUUGUAGUUAUGUGGAUGAAUACUACCUUAUUUCGAAGUGGCAUGACACUUAUAGAGACAACAUCAAACCGGUUAAUGGUGAGAAAUUCUGGGAAAAGACGGGCAAAGCUCCCAUUCUUGUACCUGAGAAAAGGAGAAUGCCUGGCCGUCCAAAGAAGCAUGAUCGGAUAAAGGAGCCUCAUGAGUCAUCUUCAAAUCCGACGAAGGCUACUCGAGAAGGAAGGGUUGUAACAUGCAGCAAUUGUAAGCAAACAGGUCAUAACAAAGGAACUUGUAAGAAUGCUACUUAUGUGGAAACAGGUCCUAAACGGAAAAGGGGAAGGCCUAAAAAGAUACAGGUAUGUAAUUAUGUGAUAGGUGAUUGUUUUGUAUGGUACGGUAUAGGUUGGUGAUUGUGUUCGUAAUUGUGUAAUAGGAGGAUGAUGCAUGGAGCAUUCAAAACGCACCAAAAAGAAGGAGGACUGGCCAGAGUUCUACACAACCAUCACAACCAUCAGUGAAUUCCACACAGGAAUCAGUCGAUCCGCAGCCAUCAAGUGCUCCAAUCCCAACUGCAUCAACUGGCCGUGGACGUGGACGUGGACGUGGCCGUGGACGUGGAACUGGCCGUGGACGUGGCCGUGAGCCUCCGAUUCCAAGGGGAUAUGGAUGCUACAUCUCACCUUUCACUGGUCGAGUUUUUGACGUGUGGGGCUCAAUUGCAACUGAAGUUAUGGGUCCUUAUGAUCACCGAGACUCUUGAAUUGCUUACUGUUUUAGUACUUUUGUGUGUGCUUUCUCAACUACAAUAUGCUUUUUGUUUCUUUUGGUGUUAGACUGUUGUUGUAGUUUGCUACAAUUGUUAUGUAAGCACAUUAGCAUUUGGGUAUUUCUUAGUAUGUCAUAAACUGAGUUGAACAAAAUGAAAGCAUAACUCCAAAACUUAUCUUCAUUGAUCCAAAAACAGAACAACAAUGACAAGAAGUGAGACAACAAGCAACAUAUGAGAGUACAAGCAAAAUAACAACAAGCAAAAUAACAACAUUACAACAAAGACAAUCGCAUCUACUUCUUAGCCAUUGUUAGGAUCAUCGCUGUGACAACAAUGAAUCCUCCCCAGGAUAUCACAAUGAAUUGGCGUAAAAGCUUUUCCUUCUCUUUUGAGGCCAUCGCUUCAAUUUCAAGUUUUCUCUUCUCUUCUGCAAUUUUCUCAAACAUCUCCAAAUUCAUCAUACCUGAAUCAGCUCCAUUCAGAUCUUUGUCAUUGCAUGCUCGGAGAGACUCGUUAAGCUCCUUGAGUUGUUCUUUUUGUUGCCUAAUCUGAUCUCUCGCCUCAAGCAAGCUAAUCUUCUGCCAUCCAAACGGCUUUUCCUUGUCAGCCCAACAAAGAAACCCAUGUGUAUCACAUUUGUAAAACUUUCUUCCUGGGUUUUCAUCAGUCCAUGAUUUCGCCAUGGUCGUCACUUUCCUGCAGCGACAAAUCGGAUUUUCCAUCUGGGUGUAUCCAUCGUUGAACGAGUUAGCAGAUGAUGAUGAGUUUUCCAUUGAUUGGUGCGAGAGACUGGCCAAUAAAAGCGAACAGAGCUGAGAUAAAAGCGAAGAUGUGAAGUGAAGGAAAAAUCGAUUUAGGGUUUAUGUUUUGAUUUGGGGAAGAACGUGGGAAGAGGAUAUGAUAUGUAUGUUCAGGCAGUUUUUUUUGUCUUUUUGGGUUAGAGUUAAACCCACAUGUUUAAUUUUUUUAAUGCCGUAUCACAGUCUCCGUUUAACAAUUAAUCGUGAUUAAAAACUGGUAGUGAAACUUACGAUUUUUGAACUUUCGAGUAUUAAAGAGGUAGUCAGCCAAAUGUCAGAUAUUAAAAAGGAAGCGUAAAUAGUUUGGGUAUUUUUCUGACAAAAGUUAUAAACUUGAGGUAUUUUUUAAGGUUUUUAUCCAAUUAUUUUUGUAAGGAAAAAAUUAAUUAGAAAAUGCCCCACAUAAAGUUACUUAUCAUCUUAUCAGACCUUAGACUUUAUUUAUUUAACAAUUCAGUCCUCGAACUAAAACGGAUUCAGCUACGCAAACCAAAAAUAAAACAAGUUUAGCCAACCAAAUAAAGGAUUUUUCUUUAAGAAAAGACGUCACAAGAAAAUAAAAAUAAAUAAACUUGUCGUUUUUAUAAACCAGAAAAAGCUGCCCAAACUUUCUUCCUCUCGAACCCUAAACGAGCCGGGUCAUCUCAAAAAUUUCCCAGACAUUGCAUUUCUUCGUCAUCCUCAGAUUCUCCUCCGCCGUUCCUCCGUCUCUUCUCCUCCGCCUGAUUCCAUCUUCGUCUUCCCCGGAACCGAAGUCUCUGUACCGUAAUUUAAUCAAGUUUUUACCGAACCGAUUCUCGCGUAACCAACCCGGUCACAACCUGCAAACCAAUAAAGGUUCGUUUAAUUCUUCUUCGUCUUUGUUCUUACGAUAGACGAAGAAAUUUACCGGUUUUGUAAUUCGGUUGAGAUUUUGGUGCACCACCUGGGUUUUAGAAUUUCGCGUUUUUAAAUCCGAUCCGUUUUUUGAAUUAUGAACAUCUUCCCUGCGAAACUCGAGAUAUUUUUCCUGCAGCUAAUUUGAUCUUGUAAACGUUAAUUGGAGGAUCUAGGGUUUUUAGAGGUUGAAUCAGCAAUGUAAAAUUUCUGGAUUUCUUCUUUUGUAGGCUCUCUCUCUCUGUUUGAGAAUGGAUUCGGAUUUGGAGCCUGUAGCUCUCACACCUCAGAAACAAGACAGUGCAUGGAAACACUGUGAGGUUUACAAAUACGGAGAUCGAGUUCAGAUGAGAUGUCUCUACUGUAAGAAGAUGUUCAAAGGAGGUGGUAUCACCAGAGUCAAAGAACAUCUCGCCGGUAAAAAGGGACAAGGCACGAUCUGCGACCAAGUCCCCGAAGAGGUCCGUCUCUUCUUGCAACAAUGCAUUGAUGGCACCGUGAGACGUCAGAGGAAGAGGCGAAAAACUAGCCCUGAGCCUCUGCCUAUAGCUUACUUCCCUCCUUGUGAAGGAGAGACACAGGUCGUUGUUUCUUCCGACGCGAACAACGGAUUCAAAUCUCCGGAUUUGGUGGCUGGUCAGAGCACGGGGAGGACGAAGCAGAGGACUUAUCGGAGUAGGAAGAGUAGUAGUAAUGCUUUUGAGAGAAACGAUUUGGCUAAUGUUGAGGUUGGUGGUGCGAGCGAUAUCAGUGACUUGAUGGGUCGAGACAUGGAGAAUUUGAUCCCUGUGGCUAUUAGUAGCGUGAAGAACAUUGUGCAUCCGUCCUCGAAAGAUAGGGAGAAGACAGUUCAUAUGGCGAUUGGAAGGUUUUUGUUCGAUAUUGGAGCUGAUUUUGAUGCUGUGAGCUCUGUGAAUUUCCAGCCGUUUAUCGAUGCGAUUGUCUCUGGAGGGUUUGGUGUUUCUCUGCCUGCAAAUGAAGACCUCAGAGGCUGGAUUUUGAAGAGCUGCGUUGAGGAAAUGAAGAAAGAGAUCGAUGAGUGCAAGUCUCUGUGGAAGAAGACAGGCUGUUCUGUUUUAGUACAGGAAUCGAGCUCCGAGAAAGGCACUAAGGUUCUUAAUUUCUUGGUUUACUGCUCGGAGAAAGUAGUGUUUUUGAAAUCCGUUGACGCGUCGGAGAUACUAGCUUCUGCUGAUAAACUCUAUGAGUUACUUAAGGAGGUGGUUGAAGAAGUUGGUGACACCAAUGUUGUGCAGGUUAUUACCAAAUGUGAUGAUCAUUACGUCGCUGCUGGGAAACAGCUGAUGUCUGUGUAUCGGACUCUGUACUGGGUUCCUUGUGCUGCACAUUGCUUAGACAAGAUGCUGGAAGAGUUUGGGAAGAUUGAUUGGAUAAGCGAAAUCAUCGAGCAAGCUCGAACCGUCACAAGAAUUAUCUACAAUCACAGUGGUGUCUUGAAUCUGAUGAGGAAAUUCACUUUUGGCAAUGAUAUUCUGCAGCCAGCCUUCACAAGUUCCGCUACUAAUUUCGCAACGAUAGCAAGAAUCGUGGAUCUGAAACCUCAUUUGCAGGCCAUGGUUACUUCGUCCGAGUGGAAUGAUUGUUCGUAUUCGAAGGAAGCAGGUGGAUUGGCAAUGACUGAGACUAUCAAUGAUGAGAGUUUCUGGAAGGCGUUAACAUUGGCGAACCAUAUAACAGUUCCUCUCUUGAGAGUUUUGAGGAUAGUUUGUUCUGAAAAGAGGCCUGCAAUGGGGUAUGUCUAUGCUGCACUGUAUCGAGCAAAGGAAGCGAUUAAGACUCAUCUUGUUCACAGGGAGGAUUACAUAAUCUACUGGAAAAUUAUAGACAGGUGGUGGUUGCAACAACACCGUCUUCCUUUGCAUGCUGCUGGUUUCUAUCUUAACCCGAAGUUCUUCUAUAGCAUCGACGAAGAAAUGCGUAGUGAGAUCCAUUUAGCGGUGGUUGAUUGCAUAGAGAAGUUGGUCCCUGACGACAACGUUCAAGAUAUUAUCGUUAAGGACAUAAACUCAUACAAGAAUGCUGUUGGGAUUUUCGGGAGGAACUUAGCAAUCAGAGCUCGGGACACAAUGCUUCCUGGUAUAUGCCAUAUUAUAUUCGUAAUUCAUUAAAUCUGAAAUAAGACUCGUAUGUUAAAGUGUUUUCGUAAGUACUUAAAACAUGUUUGAUUUCUUUUAGCUGAAUGGUGGUCUACAUAUGGAGAAAGUUGCUUGAACCUGUCACGUUUUGCCAUACGCAUUCUGAGUCAGACAUGCAGCUCAUUGAUUGGCUCCGGGAGAAACCUGACACCAGUCGAGCAAGUUUUUGAAUCGAAGAACUCUAUUGAGCGGCAACGGCUUAGCGAUCUUGUGUUUGUUCAGUACAACAUGCGCCUCAGACGACUGUAAGUUGAAAUCUUUUGCUUCUUCUCGAUUACAACACCAUGUCUGUUCAAGACAGAACUAAAGGGUUUUCUCUGUCUCCUUCAGGGGCGUUGAAAGCGGAGAUGAUAAUGUAGACCCGUUAUCACACAGCAACAUGGAACUUCUUGAAUACUGGGUUUCCAGAAACCAAGUCUGUAUAGAAGGAAAUGGAAGCUCAGACUGGAAGUCACUGGAGUCCAUAAAGAGGACAGAAGAAGUAGCGGUUAUCGAUGAAACAGAAGACUUGGGCUCAGGUAAAAAGCUUCACACAAUCUAGUUUUUUAUUGGAGAUUGAAUAAUGGUGUGAGAAGUUGUUAUACGUUAAUUGUGUAAACAAAGGCUUUUUAAUGAAAUGUGAACAGGUUUUGAUGAUGCUGAGAUAUUCAAGGGAGAAAAAGAAGUGAGUGAUGAAGGUUAUUACACAAACAUAUCAGAGAAGCUGUUCACGUGAACUCACUAAGAAGACCUCUUUCUGUAAUCAUAGUGUUUGAUUUGGACAAAAAAAAAAUUGUGAUUUUCCUCUAGGGUUUGAUUUGUAUUCAAUAGGAGUCUUUACCAGUUACCAAUUUAAGCUGUAUCCCAUAAACUAAUUAUCACUCAGCAUGCAUUUCUCUAUAUGUUAGUGAGGACAAAUACCAUUCAAAGAUGUUGAUUGUUAUUAAUUUUCAGGGUUUGUCUAAUCUCCAGACUAUUCAAAUGUUACACAAAUACCCUUUUAUAUUAUCUCUUCUCUAGAUAUGGUCUUGAUGGAUUUUUUUUGGACAUGGGGUGAUCUUGAUUCUUGAAAAUAAAUUAGUGAAAAAUCGAGUUUAGAUUCAGACACUUUUUGAGGUUGUUAAAUCGGGUUUACAAUUGUCUUUAAUUCGUUAAUAAUGUAUGGUUAAGGUUGUGUGGUUUUCAAGAACGCACAUUUACAUAUAUAAAGAGCCUUAUCCUUAAAGAGAGUAGAAGAUACGUUUGGUUUCUGGUCUGUUCAGAGAAGAGAAAUGGAUGGGCUUAGCCACAUCGGUCUUCCUGUCCUGGGGAUUCUCGCAGUCUCCGUCGUUACUUUCUACGUCGUUAGCUUCGCCGAGAUCAGAGAGGUUGGUCGUUUUUCCCAAAACAACUUCUUUCUCUUCUAUUCCAAUUUCUCUGAGUAGAAACCUCAUCAAGACAAUAUUCUAGGUUCGAUUGAUGGAUUUUGAAUUGUGCAGAAAUCGUUUAAAGAUUUGUACGACUCAGAGAAUGGAGACGGAGCAGGGUUCAAGACUUCACUAAGUUCGAGAGAGAGAAGAUCGAGAAGAGAGGCAAAUAAGAAACGUCCUCGAUCUUGAAAAAUCCCCAAAAAAUAGCAAUGGAGAGUGGAGAGAAAACUAAGGCUUGUGUGCAUUCAAAAGCCAUCUUUGAUUUUGGUUGGUCAUAUGGUUCUGAUCACAUAGUGAGAAGUCCCACUGUUGUCUCUGUUUCCAUCAAGUAGACUGCAAAAUAACUAAAGCUUGUGUGCAUUCAAAAGAAAAGAUCCAAUCUUUGAGUAAAUGGGUUUUUAAAGUUGGAAACUUUAUUAUGCAAUAUAACUGAAAUGUUCCAGGGAGAGGAGAUGGGAGAAGAAUCUCUAAACCACUUCAUCAGAGCUUUGCUUCUCACUUCUUUUGCUGAGUCUUGAGUUCAUCGACCCUCUCUUCCGUUGCUUUCAAUGCCUUCCCGUAGAUAGAAAUCAACUGCAAAAUCAUAAAAACCAAAGAAGAGAGUUUCAGAGAGAAACGAACACAAAGAUUUAGCAGAUCAAAAACGUCUCAAGAUCUGUACUUUACCUCAUCGAUCUCUUCAGGUGAGAUAAUGAGCGGUGGACACAUCAUUAUGGCAUCACCUGCAACGCGGACUAUCAUCCCAUGCUUCUGGCACUCGGCUGCAAAGUAUUCCCCAACACCUAUAAACAUCAAUACAAAAAAAAAGAAAGAAAGUGUAAUAUGAGACCGUGAUCUUUUAACUUGUGCAAGUAGAGCAUUCGAACACGGCCUUCAAGUAGAGUAUAAGAGGGUUUAGAGAAGAGUUGCUACUUUACCCCAUUCAGGUGGAAAUGGUUCAUUUGGAGAUUUGUUUUCUGUAAACUCAGUCGCGAGAAUCAAACCCGUUCCUCUUAUCUGAAAACCAUUCACAGAAUACUCAAAUGCUACUUCAAAAGAAGAAGAAAAAAUGUGACUUUAAAAGAAAUGGUACCUCUCCAACAAUAGGACUACUGGAGAAAGCUUUAAGACCAUCUUGAAACCUUGAGGCAACUCUGUCUACAUGCUCUGGUAUGUUCCUUUCCCUGUAAUAUGAAUUUCUCGUCAAGAAAUUUCAGAUAAGAGUAAACAGUAGUGGGAUAAUACUCUUAUCAACUGCUAUGAGUUCUUGACAAAUUACAGUUUAAACUUACUUAUAUAUCUUUAACGCUUCAAUUGCUACAGCACAGGAAACUGGAUGACCAGAAUAAGUAAACCCAUGUGCGAAAAUACCUGAAAAUAACAAAGUUUUAUUUAAGCAUUGUAAGAUCAGAACAUUUUUAGAUAUAACAUUACUAAAAAAGUACCUAUCUUGUUGCUUUGGGAGUAAAUGACAUCUGACACUUCUUGACUCAUAAGAACGGCUCCAAUCGGCACAUAUGCUGAGGACAAUGCCUGCAUAUCAAUAACAUUUCAAUCUAUGCCCCGGAGAGAAAUUUUGUAAAAUCUACUAAUCAUCUUGCAAAAUCUGACCUUAGCGAAGGAAACAAGAUCUGGCUUGAUGUUGUAUUUGUCACAGCCAAACAUUGUCCCGAGCCUUCCAAAUGCACAUAUCACCUUAUAGUCCAAACAAUAUACAAAUUGUCUAAUGAUAUCUUCUCUUCUUUAAUAGAUUCUAGAGUUUUAAUUAAUAUGAUGAUGAUUCUGUGUGUGGACUGAUAUAUAGUAACAUUUUUUAUACAUGUACCUCAUCAGCAAUAAACAGGAUAUCAUAUUUCUUAACAACAGCUUGGACCUGCAACAACAUAAAAAGAGCAAAAAGAAACACACUUUGAUAAGAGUAUACGAUCCUAAUCCACAUCGAUCUAACCACUAAACCGCAUAAUUCAUGCUAUCUAUUAUGAAAGUUUUGGAAAAUGACCUUUUCAAAGUAGGUAGCAGGUGGAGGUAUCACACCACCAGCACCCAUGAGUGGUUCAGCGAUAAAAGCACCAAUCUACUAAGAAGACAUUUGUGUUAAAUUGAGAUUCCAACAUCAACACAAACGCAUAAAGACCAAAAGUAUUUAAUAGAAUGUUUACAGUUUCUGGUCCUUCUUUGAUGAUAAGAUCUUCUAAAUUCUUGGCUAAUCUGGUUGAGAACUCCUCUUCCGAUUCACCUGCAUAAACAGUUUGCAUGAUAUAAAAUAAAAAGAUUACUUUAUUUUGACUUUUUUUUUGAAAAAACGAAUUAACCUGGAAGAUGAUAACGCCAGUAAUGAGGACAAUCCGUGUAUAACAUAAAUGGUGCCGGUAAAUCAAAUUUUUGAUGCAUCCCUGGAAUUCUGGAACAAUGUAUGAAAUUUGUUAGAAUUUUUGGUUUUUUGUUUUUUGAAUUAGCACUUCUUGGAAGAUUUAACUGAGGAACAAUAGAUAUCUUUACCCAGACAAACUUGCUGACACCAAAGUAGAGCCAUGGUACCUGAAUUCAUAUAUAAGCACUUUAUUUUAAAAUCUAAUGGAAACAGACAAAUUGUUAUGGUGGAUGUGAGAAAACGAAUAUCAACCAAAAAACUGUAGACAUAUUUUAUAUUUUCAUGACCAAAGUUGUGUUAACUACGUCCAUGGAUAGUAUAUAUUAAUUGUGACCUGUGGAAGAUCACUUGAAAAUACUAUAGUGGCGAAAAUGAGAACAAGAACUAUUUUUUGUGCUAUUUUAGGGAUAUUUCUCUAGGUUCAAAGCAUAUCAGCACAAUUUUUUUUUUCCCUCACGAUGUGCUUCUUGCGAUAAUUUUUCUUCUUCUCAGGCCUUCCAAGUGCGUUAUUGUAAUACCAAACCAGCUUGACCUGCAUUAAAUAUAAUAAUAGAUUUACAAACAUCAUUAGAGGAUAUCAGAGCUAGAGACAAAUAGUUAAUCGAAACAAGAAGAAAAAGUAAUUUUCUGAAUAUGAAACGAAUCUUUAAUUCCUCUAGGAUAAACAGUUUAGGAUAGAGUUAAAUAUAUGGAAACCUGGGUGUCAUUAGCCUCUGAUCCACUGUUUGUAAAAAAUGCUUUGGUCAUUUUGUUGGCAGUGAACAUGUCUAAAAGUUCCUUAGCAAGAUCCUGUUUUUUUACAAGAAAAACACAUCACAGUGACCAAACUCAACAAAGAAACAAAUUAGCAUAAUGGCACCCAAAACGAAAAACUAUUGACUACCAGAGAAGGUUUAGUAGUAAAGUUCCAAAAGGAGUGGUAAAACGGCAAGGUGUUCAAUUGUGAAACCGCAGCAGAAACAAGCCGUGGCUCAUUUCCUCCUGCAAGAUUUUGUGGUAUCAAUCACAUAACUUGCACAUCAAGCAAACCCCCCAAAAAAACCUUACACAUCAAGACAUGUGUAGUAAUAGAAGGAUAAAUGAGGAAUAACCCAAGGCUGUACACCAAAGACCAGCGAGAGAAUCAAGAUACUUUUUCCCAUGGAUAUCAUACACAUAACUCCCCUGUAAAAAAAAUUAAGAAGGAUGAAAGAAAAAUUGUCACACUUGUUUGUAUCAAGUGGCAACAUUUACAAUUUAUUAUGGUCUAUCAAAAGAAGUAUCACUUCGGAUUUUGCUAUGAUCAACGGAUCUAAAUCAGCACUCUGCCACCCAGCUGUAAAAGGUGCAAGCAUACUAUGACCCUUAUACCUGUAAGAAAAACAGUUGCACUAUUCACAAACUCGUAAAGCAUUCAGUGGCAUUUGUGUUGGCAAAAACAUAGAACAUAAUUAAGAAUUAAGAAACUAGCAUCAUAAGUGACACAAUUAGGGGAAUUGACCAUUUCGGUGUAUGGAUAGACGAAAAAUUCUUGGGACUGAUAACACAAUUAUAUAUAUAUAUAUAAUUCUAUUUUAUACAUAUAUACUUUUAAAUAGAUUUACUGAUAUUCUAUUGAUAAAACAUACUAAUGUUAUUCAUGGAACCUAAUGUUAUAUUCUAUAUUUUCUUCUUUGAACUUCUAUGAGAAAUAUUGGAAGCAAGAUUUCUAUACUAAAAGAUAAAAUUCAACUGUAUAGAUUGAGAGAGAGAGAGAGAGAGAGUAGGAGUUUGGUAUUUGUUUGGCAUUUUUCCCCAUUACAAUUUAGUGGCCUAUGGGCCCUAUAAUUUAUUACUUUUCAAACAAAAUAUUAAAACGUAUCUUCUUCUUUCUUUUUUGGCAUUUUUUCACCAUUAUAAUUGAGUGUCCUAUUACAGUAUAUAUUUACUUUUCGAACAAAGGAUAAAAUGUGUAUUGACUAUUGUGUCUAAUUACUUGAAUAGUUGGUCAUUCCCUUCCAUUAAUUAUAGACCAUUUCAUAGUCCUAUCACCAAAUUUCUCUAAAACAAAAUUACUAUGAAACUCACCCAACUGAAUUUUGCUUCUUUGAUGAUGCAUCUGUAGUGAAUAUCCUCGAGGUAAUGUUCCCAUGCAUGCAUUUGACAGAAGCAACGUACCUUUUCUGCAAAGUAACCUGCCAUGAGGGGGAAGAUAUAUAUUAGCACUGAGCUAUGAACAACUUCACUAUUUUUUCUUUUGUUUUUGGUAACUAAGAAAUUCGAAAACAAAAAAAAGAAAUUCGAAAACAAAAAACUAAGAUAUUCGAGCCUUAGGCUUAUUUUUAAUCUCUUCGGACCGGAGACCAAAACAUGUUAGUUUAAUUCAGUCUCCUUCUUGUCGUUGGUACUCGAACAAGAUUCUCCCCCUUAAAGGGUUUAAUAUUACUAUUUAGGUUAUACAACAUAAAUUCACUUUCCAAUUUUUGGCAUCCAAAUUAACGUUCUACUGAAAAAGGAGAGAAACGUAAGAAACCUGACUGGUAUGAGCCAAGCGUCGGAGGCAGUUGAUCAAGGCCAUUUCUCGUAUGUGGAAUCUCAAACCGAAAUGAAGAAUUAAACACAGAAAAAAAAAGAAUUAAACACAGAGAGAAAUAUUAUUAGAGGAAAAGAAGGAGAAGCGAGUGGAUUUUUUCAGAAGGAGGAUAAUAUUGGUUUUUAUAGACAUAUAUGAACGCCUUAUGAAACAUAAUAUAUACUUUGUUGUUAUCUCUUCAAGUUCAAUUGCUUUUAGCCAAUGACUUGUCCAAUGACAAUGACUAGUAAUCCUAGUACGAAUAAUUUGGUUUAUUGAAAAAUUCAAUAAACUGUCCUUUUCAGUAUAAACCAAAAUAGACUGUCUUCUUCAGCAAAACCAAACUAUCCCCACUAGAAUCAUUUUUCCUCCAAGUGGAGAGUGGAGAGUACAGUUGAAGUUUGUUGAUUUUACUCAACUUCUACAAAAACAAAGACUUGAAUCAGAAAAUAAAGCUAGCUAGCUACAAAAUAAUAUAGGCAAAAAGUGAUCAAGGCUUAUAGAGAAACAAACAUAAAGGCACGAGACAUUAAACCAAGUGUGUAAACCUGGAUCUAGUAAGCAAGGAGAAUAAAAAAUUUGUUGACUUAGCUCAAAUUCUACUAUCUACAAUCAAUACUUCACUAAGAAAAAAAGAAAAGAAAAUCAACUCCAUGAGAUUCAGCAUCAUUCAUCAGUUUUGACUAGUAAAUGCGUAAGGAUUUGCAAGAGGAAAAUAUCAAGUACCACCAUGAAACGAAACUACUUACGGCUUGAAAGAAUUUGAGUUGUUCAGCUUCUUAAGAACAUAAUGUGCGAAAAGAUCAUGCCAUAUAAUAUGAAGCCAUCCAGGUUUUUAAAGGUACUGCAAAAUAAUAUAUAUAGACAAAAAGUAAUCAAAAGACAAAACUUGUAAAAUUAAACAUAAAGGCAUGAAACAAGAAGAUUAUGGUUUUUGCUUCCAUAUAUAUUUUCUGUGCUAUUAAUGAGAUUUGUGUAGCGUUUGGCAUGAGAUUAUUAUUUUGUAUGUUUUUGGGAUAUUUAUUAUAAUUUUUGUGUUUCUAGAUUUGUUUGGGACUGUAGUUUCUUUGUUUGGUAUGUUUUUUUUUUGUGAAAUGUUGGUGUAAUAUUUAGUUUGACAUUAUGAUUUUCGUUAACUAUAUUCUUCUAUAUUGUAUGUUUGUGUUAUUACUUAUGAUGUUUGUGGAAUGUUUUGUAAUUUUUAUUUUUUAAGUAAUUAAAUUUGUGAUGCAGAUUUUUUUUUUUUUUGAAAAUUGAGAAGACUUAUGGUAAUUACCAAAUGAAAUAAAAAGAAGAAAAGAUUGGCUUUGUGUAAGAUGGAACCAAUAGCUCUUCUUUUUUUGAAGUUCAAAAACUUUAAUGCAAUAGCCUUGUGGAGAUUGCUAGCUUCAAGACGUUAAACCAAAACAAAACAACACUACUAUAUUUAUUUUAUUAACAAAAUCACAACAAUUCUAAAAAGCGAGAACAAAACUACUGAACAAUUGGGCCUAAUAUUAAACCCAAGUAUGUACUAAUCCCAAAACCUAAACUAUCGUCGUUUCUUAUCAAACAAAACAAAAUCUAUCUCUCUAACAAUAAAUACGUAAUUAGCAUUUUUGUAUGUUUAGUUGGUUUGGUAAGAUGAUUUUGGUAACAUCGUCAGUUGUUUAUUCCUCAUAGAAUGACGCAUUUGUUAAGACUUGUGUAGAAAAAAGACAAAAAAGAUUCAAACUUUUGAUGAUACAAAAGAUCCUUUCCACUAUUUAGUCCCUCAUUUACAGUUAAGACUUAAGACCAUUUUCCAUAGCUGUCAUUUGGUGAGGAGCUCGAGAGAAAUGGAGUUAAAAUUGACAUCUUUAUUAUGCAUAUCACUGAAACUGUAAAUUGUGCAAAGCAAAUGGCAAACAAUUCAAGGAGAGAGAUGGGAUUAAUCUAAACCACUCAUCAUAACUCUCUGUUUCUCACUUCUUUUGCUGAGUCUUGAGUUCCUUUACCCUCUCUUCCGUUGCCUUCAACGCUUUCCCGUAGAUAUCGAUCAACUGAAAAAAAUGAUAAAAUCCCAAAGAAGGAAGAAGAAAAGGGUGAGUCUCAGGGAAUUUGGUCACAAGAUUUAGCAGACAAAAAGCCUUAAAAAUGACUCAAGAUUGGCACUUUACCUCAUCGAUCUCUUCAGGUGAGAUAAUGAGCGGUGGAGACAUCAUUAUGCUAUCACCUGCAACACGGACUAACAUCCCGCGCUUCUGGCACUCUGCUCCAAAGUAUGCGCCAACACCUGCAAACAUUGAUUGCAAAUGGUAGGGAUUUAGUAAAGUAGUGAGUUUAGGAGAGGAGAAACAUUUUUUGGUUUUGGUCAUGAGAGAGACUUCACCCCAUUCAGGUGGAAAUGGUUCGUUUGGUGAUUUGUUGUCUGUAAACUCUGUCCCGAGAAUCAAACCCGUUCCUCUUAUCUGAAUAUGAUCACAAAAUGCCCCAAUGUUUAAUCAAAUACUUCAAAAGAAAAGCUAAUGACUAAAAGAAAUUAUACCUCUCCAAUAAUAGGACUACUCUUGGAGAAAGCUUUAAGACCAUCUUGAAAUCUUGGGGCAACUUUGGCGACAUGCUCUGGUAUGUUCCUUUCCCUGUAAUAUGAAGAAAAUAAGUGCAGAUAAGAAUCGAGUAACUUUAUCACAUGUGUGUGAGACAGGUUUUGAGUUUUUGGCAAAUUACAAUUUCAAAACCGGCUUACUUGCAUGAACGAGCAAAAGUGACAAACUUACUUGUAUAUCUUUAACGCUUCAAUUGCUACAGCACAUGAAACUGGAUGACCAGAAUAAGUAAAUCCAUGCGAGAAAGCACCUGACAUAAAAAAAAAACAAAAACAAAAAUUACUGGCAUUUUAAGAUCAGAACACUGGAAUAUUACCACGGUGAACAUUACUAAAAAGGUACCUAGCUUGUUGCUUUGAGAAUAAAUUACAUCUGCCACUUCUUGACUUAUAAGAAUGGCUCCAAUCGGCAUAUAUGCUGAAGAAAGUGCCUGCAUAUUAAAACAUUUACAACAUGUAUGUGAAAUUUGUCAACAGAGGAAGUAAAGAAAAAAUACUCGGUUUGCAAAAUCUGACCUUAGCUAAGGAAACAAGAUCUGGCUUGAUGUUGUAUUUGUCACAGCCAAACAUUGUCCCGAGCCUUCCAAAUGCACAUAUCACCUUAAUUAAAGUCCAACAAAAUAAAAUUAGAUAAAUGGUAACCCAUCUUCUUGAUCGAUUUUGGGGCCACGAUCCUGUGUGUGGACUCAUAUUAAACAAGGUUUAAUUAGAUAUGCACAUACCUCAUCAGCAAUGAACAGAAUAUCGUAUUUCUUAACAACAGCUUGGACCUGCAGCAGAGGAAAAAGAGCUCAAUGUUACAUCCAGAAAGAUCUAACCACUGAACCACAUAAUUAUGCUUAGUACCAACAAAGUUUACGAAAUUGACCUUUUCAAAGUAGGUAGCAGGAGGAGGUAUCACACCACCAGCACCCAUGACUGGUUCAGCGAUAAAAGCACCAAUCUAGUAAGAAGACAUUUUUGUUAGAUUGAGAUUCCAACAUCAUCACAAAUGCAUAGAGACCAAACGUAUUUAAAAGAAUGUUUACAGUUUCUGGUCCCUCUUUGAUGAUAAGAUCCUCUAAAUUCUUGGCUAAUCUGGUUGAGAAGUCCUCUUCCGUUUCACCUGAACAAACAAUUCCAAGGUUGAGAUCAAUGAUUACUUUUACUUUAAAAAAAGAAUUUAGAAUCAUUCAUAGUAAAUACCUGGAAGAUGAAAACGCCAAUAGUGAGGGCAAUCUGUGUGCAACACAAAUGGUGCAGGUAAAUCAAAAUUUUGGUGCAGCGCUGGAAGACUAGAAGUAGAAGAUAAAUUUGUUAGGUAGUAACGAAAAGAAUCUUUAGAACAUCUACAAAGAAUGUCUGAGGAACUAUAUUUACUCUACCCGGAUAAACUUGCUGAUAUUAGAGUGGAACCAUGGUACCUGAAGUCAUAAAACCGAACUAAUAAACACCUUGAGAUCUUAUAAAAUAAGACAAACACAAAAUGACAAGCAGAUAUCUUUCUCACGAUUUAUUUCUUGCGAUAAACUUUUUCUUCUCGGGCCUUCCAAGUGCGUUAUUGUAAUACCAAACCAGCUUGACCUGCAGAUAGAUACAGGAGAUUUAUAAACAACUCUUAUAGGCAAACAGCUUAGAAAAUCAAGGUACAGCGCAUAGUUAUGGAAACCUCAAACCUGUGUAUCAUUGGCCUCUGAUCCACUGUUUGUAAAAAAUGCUUUGGCCAUUUUGUUAGCCGUGAACAUGCCUAAAAGAUCCUUAGCAAGAUCCUGUUUUGCAGGUAAACCAGCACAGUGAUCAAAUUCUCUUUGAUUACCCAUUAAGUAUACUGCCCUGAGUCUUAACAGCACACAGAAAGCAGCAGCAGACAGUAGAAAAAAAAAAAACUUUAUAAUAAUGGCACCAAAAGGAAAUGCCUAAGUACCAGAGAAGGUUUCGUAGUACGGUUCCAAAAGGAGUGAUAAAACGGCAAGGUGUUCAACUGUUCCAUAGCAGCAGAAACAAGCCGUGGCUCAUUUCCUCCUGCAAGAUUUUGGGGAGGGUCAGAGUCAAGGACGUAAAGCCAACACAUUCACAACUAUCCAGGAAAUCCAAACUGUACAAGAGAAACAUCAAGUCAUGUGUAUCAAGAUAAAUGAGGAAACAACCUAAGGCUGUACACCAUAGACCAGCGAGAGAAUCAAGAUACUUUGUCCCAUGGUCAUCAUACACAUAACUUCCCUGUACAAAUUUAAGAAAAAUGUCAUAACUUACAUACAUAACACUACUUUGAAUCAACAUUUACAUUGCACGCCGAUAAAAAAACCAACAACCAGUAAAAUAAAGUUGACAUUUUUGAUAUGUACCUCAGACUUUGCUAUGAUCAAGGGAUGUAAAUCAGCACUUUGCCACCCAGCUGUAAAAGGUGCAAGCAUAUCAUGCCCUUUAGACCUGCUCAGAAUUUCAUGUAAGUUCUAAGAAACACAUUUCCACUAUUCAUUACUCUACUGAAGCAUCAGAAAUCAUCAAAUCGAAACUCACCCAGCUGGUUUUUGCUUCUCCGGUGAUGCUUCCGUAGUGAAGAUCCUCGAGCCAGACAUGGAUUUGGAAGAAGCAGCAUAUCUACUCUGCAAAUUAACCUGCCAUGAUAGGAAAAAUAUAUUCUUUCAUAUUAGCACUAAGGUUGACCUACGAAUCACAUCACCAUUUGGGUUCCCUAAUUACUGGAGAAUCCCCAAAAAGUAUAAUUCCAAAAAGACACCUGAGCUAUUUCAUCAAGCUUGGAGUAUCAAUUUGUUGAUUUCUUACAAAAAAAAUACAAAUUUUUAAUCUCAGCAUUUUUCUGAAUCCUGAUCUACUAAACGAAAAAGGAGAAGGGUGACGAGUGACGAGAGAAAAGUUAUGAUUUUAGGUAACAAAAUUCUCUAGGUCUGAUGAUGAUGAUGACGCAGUUAAAAGCAAUCGAGGAAUCAUCUAUCCGGAAAUAAUAAGAUAAUCGAAAGAAGAAGCGAGUAAGAAGAAGAACUCGAUGGUAUCGAGAAGAACCUGAGUUGUACGAGCCAAUCGUCGGAGGCUGUUGAUUGCUGCCAUUUCUCGUAAGUCGAAUGUCUCGAAGCAGAACGAAGAAACAGAGAGAAGAAAUGAUCAAAGAAGGAGGAAUCUGUAGAAUCCUGGAUUCUUUGAGAGUGAUGAAGGAUCAUGAUGGCUUUAUGAAUCAAAAAUAUCUUAUUUAUCACUUCAAGUUCCAUUUGAUUUUGACCAAUGACGUGUCAUUGAGUCAUUGUAUAUUUACAAUAAUUUAGUUUUUAUUGAUAGGCUGCCAUAGUAUUUAGCAAAUUUCUUACCAUAUUAAACCGCAUCAACUAGGCCAACUAGUAGAAAAAAACUUCCAAACUUGGUUAGAUAUUAAAUUGAAGUUAGUAGGGGAUAACACUUAUACAAUUUACGAGUGUUCACUACAUUAUUAUUACAUCAAAUACAUAAAAAAAUUUGUCUUGUUUGUUGACAGGUGACACAUAUGAUAAGGAAAAAAAAAAGAGUCCUCCUUAUAAACGGUAAAAGAUAAAAGAUUUUUUUACUGUCUUCUUUUGACCAAUAUUUUUUUACUGUUGUCGACAAAAAAAAAUCUUUUUUUCUGUCUGAACAGUAAUCGUAAUAUAACACAAAUCACUAAGCUAUGUAUAAUUAUCGGUGUAUUAAUUUGAAUACUGCAGCAAAAUAAAAAUGAUCCCGUUAAGUAACAAACGUUACAAAAUCAGUCAUAUCAUAUCAUAUAUGACAACACGUCACAUAAGAAAAAAAGAUUUUUUGUCUUUCAUACCAAAUAUUAUUCUUUAGAACUUAUAUAGUGUAAAUGCAUGCAUUAAAGCCGUCGAAUAAAUAAAGCUCAAAACUGCUUGCCGUUUUACAACUCAAUAAACGCUGCUAAGUUUCAGGUUAUCGCGGCGCAAAUUAGCACCGUACGGCGUGCAAUCUAUCAAUCAUUCAUUCGUAUCUGACGAGAGGGAAACGAAACGAUAAUAAUCAAUUUUUAGCUAAGUCCAAGUCCUAUCUAUCUGUAAUCCUUCAUUCUUCAGAUAGAGAAAGAGAGAAAUGGACUUUUUGGAGAGAGAGUAAAAGUAGUGCGAGAAAGACGAUCAGUGACUGAAGAAGAUCACUCACUCUCACACCCUCUCUGGAGAUCUCAUCGGCCGAUCUUUUCUUCCCCACCUGUAAAGUUUCUAAUUUUGCUUCUUUUUAUGUCUGCUCAUUUCUCAAUUCCCUCUCUCUUAAUUUGAGAGUUUCUUGAAAAAGUUUGGUUUUUUUUGUUGGUAUAAAGAGUUGUUGAUUUAGUGUUCGUCACUUUCAUUUUGGGAUCCAAAAGAGUGUAGCGACUCAAUUGAGUUUCCUUAUCUGUGUCUCUGUGCUUUUAAUUACUUAUUAAUUAAACCCAAAACAGAAAGUUAUCAUUUUUGUUUCGAAUUUUGAAUAAUUCAGUUGCUAAAUGCAAUCCUGCAGGUCGUUGUUAUCUUUGCUGAUCGUUGAAAUCUGAUACAAUGGGUGCUUCGGGGAGGUGGAUUAAAGCAUUGGUUGGUUUCACGAAAUCUGAUAAGUCAAGGUCUUCAAAAAAAGAUGACAAUGUGAGUACUCUAUGCUAUUUUGAUUACAAGAGUAUCUCUUUAUCAAAUUAUGCAAAUGUUGGUUAAAAAAAUGUAUACAACCUUCAUCUUAUUUGUAUUCAUGAAGGUAAAGAUUGCCACCAAGAGCCGGUUUGGGAGAAAGAAUUCAGUUGAUUUUGACGCUGAAAAAUUUCAAGACGGAUUUGAAGAUUCCAAUGCGCAUAGUAUGAUAGAUACUGGUGUCUCUACUUCGACUUCACUACAAUCAUAUGGUGCAGCUUAUGAAGAGCAAAGGAAAGAACAUAGAGCUGCGACACGCAUCCAAACAGCUUAUAGAGGAUUUCUGGUAUUAGUUUCGCCUUAUUAAGUUGAUUGUAUUUUCCUUGUUGCCUUGUAUAUCUAUCUGCAUGCUUUGCUUUGUGGGUUUGAUUGGACUGAAGUAAAGAUGAUACAUUUCGUAGGCUAGAAGGGCUUUACGAGCGUUGAAGGGAUUGGUUAGACUUCAAGCUCUUGUCAGAGGACACGCGGUGAGGAAACAAGCAGCGGUAACGCUUCGAUGCAUGCAAGCGUUAGUAAGAGUUCAGGCUCGUGUACGCGCAAGACGUGUUCGUCUUGCCUUGGAAAGUGAAACGGGUCAGCAGACACUUCAGCAACAGCUAGCUGAUGAAGCCCGAGUUCGAGAAAUAGAGGUGAUGUUCAGUUGUUCACUUGUCUCAGUUAUAUACAAACUUUGUAUGGCCUUUACUUUUUGUUGAGAGAAUUACAGUAAUGUUGACUAUGUGAAAAUCAUCUCUCAGGAAGGUUGGUGCGAUAGCAUUGGAUCUGUUGAACAAAUACAAGCAAAGCUGGUAAAGAGGCAGGAAGCUGCAGCUAAGCGUGAGAGGGCUAUGGCAUAUGCUUUGACUCACCAGGUUACUCACAACCACUAUGCUAUUUAAGAAGUAACUGUUUGAAUUUGCUCACUUUGUUAAGAAGUAAUUGUUUGAAUCUGCUCACAUUGUACAAAUCAUAACAUCCCUGAAUAGUCUCUUUGAUCGUCAAUGGUUCUCUUCCAUAGGACCAAUCUUUAACCAAACACACUAUGACAAUCUCCCAUGAAAGUGUAUCUUUUUGCUUAUGCUACUGGCCUCAUCUCAGCCCCGAUCACAGUUUCCGGUGCUGUUGUUUCUUUGUGUAUGCAAAAGGAUCUUUCUUUGUCUUACAUACAAAUUGCUCUCUUGUAGUGGCAAGCGGGAACUCGGCAGUUAUCUGCGCACAGUGGCUUUCAACCUGACAAAAACAACUGGGGAUGGAACUGGUUGGAAAGAUGGAUGGCUGUUCGUCCAUGGGAGAACCGGUUUCUUGACAGUAACCUCAGGGAGGAUACGACAUUAGUUGAAAACAAUGUGGAGCAGUCUGAGAAUUUGCAUAAAACGCAGAUGAGAAAUGCAAGCAAAAUGCCAAACACUUCAACUCUUGUAUCCGGUGUUUCAAGUCAGAAGGCAACCGGGCCAUCUCUGUCGGAUAGUAAUUCGUCUUCUCCUGGAAUAUCUUCAAGCAUUCCAGUGGUAUCCAAGGCUAAGUCAAAGCUUGCUAAAGACGAUCUUGCUGUAGAAGUUAACUCAAAACCUGGCGCUGGUCCAAGAUCGCACAGCAAUCCGAAAGAAAGAUCAAGAGAGCCAAUUAGAUCUUCAAAGGAACGAUUAUCUCUGCCAAACAGUGGUUAGAUCUCUUUCUCUCUUUCUCUACGCGUAGGAAACCUCGUUUCUUUUCCCUUCUGUGAUGAUUGAAUGAAUAGUCUUACCAACAUGGUGAUAGUGAUAAGAGAAUCAGUUUUGCAUUGGUCAUUACGAUUCAAACCACAAGUUAGAUAAUUAGGUUAACUAAGUUUUAGUAAAACCUACAAAUCUGAUCUAUUGUGUCAGGGGAGAGUUUGACCAGGCCUCAAAUCAAUCUGAAUACAUUAUUAAACACGGAACAAGUCACAUUCAACUAAGACGCAUACAUUUGAUCUUUGAAACAUUUCGGUUGUCUUUGGUUUUAUUGUCCUUUUAAGUCUAAAUUGUGAAUAUUCUUGAGCAGGAAGAUCCUCAGGAUCUCAGUCAGCUAAAGCCAGCCGAGCGGGAAAACUCACACCAACAUCUCAUAAAGUAGUCGAGGAGAAAACUGCCCAAAACCAGAGAAGACGUAAUUCCGAUCCAAUAAAACAGAGGCUCGCAUAGCCAUGUUAAGUGUACAUACACAGGUUCUGAUGAAAUGAAAGAAAAAUGAUAAAGACAAAAAUCAUGGAAGAACAGAAUGGGUUUCAAAACUCGAGAGAGCUGCUUGGUUCAUCGAACAAGAAGAGAACAGCGUCUUUCUGCUUUCAUUGUUGUCGUUAUUUAUGUUAGCCAUCCCUUUUUUGUCCAUGAUUCUCUGUGGAUUCAUAUAUAUGGACCGGUAAGUAGUCUUAUAAUUUUAAGUAAGGUGUUUGGGGUAUAUUUGUGAAACAGUUUUUGUUGGGAGAACAGACCAUGCUGCUCGUGGCCCUCCCAAUGUGAUUAUAUAGAGUUCGUUGUUUUGUAUACAUUUUCCCAUUUCAAAAGAGUGAUCUUUAUCAAUAAUUAGUUGCUUUGCAAAAGUGAUUAAUUUAAGUGCAAGAAAAGAAACUGCCUAUCAAAGAAGCUCAAAUCAUUGAAAGAAAACUAAUAAUCCUAAUUUCCUUUCGAGAAAUACGCUUAGUUUAUCUACUUGAUGCUAGAACCGGGUUGCGAGUUUGUCCCAAGACCUCCAGGGGUAAACACUGGAAGCUGGUUUGAGUUUAAAUCCCUUCUAAAUCUUGCAUCACGAUGAAGUGUCGAUGCCAAUCUGUCAUGUCCCUCUCUUACCAAGCUCCUUUCACUUCUCGGGUUACUUCUAGUCGGGAUAUUAACCAGAGGUCCUCCAAAGAAUAUAGAGUCACCAGUAUAUGUCAGUCUUCUCUCGGCUUGCUGCAGAGGAAGAGGAGCCUUUAACGCUGAUGAUCCAGAAGAUGAAUCUUGAGGUGGAAGAAUAGGUCUUGGAUUCUGAGUGUUGGCUAUUUGUGAGCUAGGAUUUGGCAAUCUGUUGCGGCCUUCAGGCAUUGUCGUUACAGGAGCUGAUACGUAUCUCCCAGCUUCGGGAUCCCAAACAACCGAUGUCUUUCUCACGUCUCGCAGAAGCGAAGUUGCAGGAUUGGAGAGAAACAGCGGAUCAGCGCCGUUUCCUCUGUGCAGCACCUUUUCAUCAAACGUCGAGUGCAUGUGAUGGGUUGUUGCUGCGAAGCGAUGGUCAGUUAAUGUAUGAUUGUGAGGGAGAGGAGCAAGUGUGAUAGACUCGUGAACAUGGCUUGGACUGCUGAAAUUGCUAAUGCCAUGGCUUCCAGUGUCAUACUCAUCCCGGCUACUCUGGGUUGGAGCAAACGAGUUUCUAGAAAGAGAUGACCGUAGUUCAUUGUUCUGCAUCUCUUUACUUGCAGUCACGUUUGCAUCUGUGCUUACACUGCUGAUGAUACUAACUGUGCCAAUGGAACUUAGUUCAUUAUCUUGUAAAUGGCGAUUAUCUAUCGGUCUUAGGACAGAUGAAGAUGCUCUGGCUCUGGCGGCUGCCCUUGCUGCUUCAUUUGCAUCCAACUUAGCGAGCUUCCAUGCAUUACGUUUGACAACGGGUCUUUUCGGAGCCUUGAUGCCUCUCCCUGCUGCAUCUGGAUCUACGGUCGACGGGACCAUGUGAGGGUCUAAAUGGGGAAUGACUUCAUCCUGCAAUAGAAAUUAUAACUGGCAAGUCAAUACCGGACCAUCAUCUCAGUUUAGGCAGUACAUGUAUGCAACAAUUAACGCAUUUCAUCAUCGCCUUUCAAGGUCAUACAUAGCGAUUAAUACCAUGGACAACACGAUUUUCCAAUGAGGUAUAAAACCAACUAUAGCAAACCAAAACUCUAAUGAGUUUUACAAGAGAUUAGAGAUGCGAUGAAAUAGAAUGGUUGGAUGUUUAGGAAAAGGAAGAGAUACCUGAUCAUCAACAAACACUCUAGGUGGAGUGCACCAGACACCCUUUUUGUAUGGUAGGCCGAGAGAGCUUCCACCACUAAAGCCGGUUGUGGCAGACCCGGUAGGAGAAUAGAGCACAUUCUGAAUUUCCUCAUCAGCUGGCACCUCGCUCAUGGCUCUCAUUGCCACAACAUACUCAUACGUUGUAAGUCCCUGCCGAUAUUAAACAGAAGAUAACCUCACAUUGCUUAUACUGGAACAUGCCAUCAGCAAGUUAUAAACAAAGUUGUAGACAUAAGUUAAAAUGCCGUGAGCUUUAAAAUUGGGAAAGGAGUUCGGGAGAAUGGUUCAGAUGGUUAUAGUUAUGAAAGAUACAGCUGAACAUUAAGAUAUAAAGCAGCUAACAAAAAUUAUCCAAGUUUAACCUCACUACUAUGCAACCAUGGAUCUCUUGUGCUAAGAAAAAUUCUCAGUGUUAUAAGUAAGUAAAAUAAAAGCUAGCUUCUUUCCUACUGACCUUUUUAAUGAGCAGCAUGUGGAAAAAGAGAAGUUCACCCAGUGGAAAACAUGCCAGAAUGGUAACAACAGUGCAAAGACCCUACAUAAUUUGCAGAUAUGACAUUAGGAAACAGGACCACACCUCCAAGCAAAGACACAACAUCAAGAAUACUUACAACAACUGCCGCAAAAGGUGCACGGGAGAAACUAUUUCCAAGUCUAUUGACAAUUUCGGUUUCCAUGCUCUUCCUAUUAACAAAAACACGAACUAUAACUGCGAUUCCGACUGCUGCUUCAAUAAUGAGCUGAGGAAGAAAGCGUAACCUUUUAAUGGUUAAGUGAUAAAUAAGUUUAAGAAAUAGAACAUACUACAAGGCAAAUACAUACCCAAAGAAGGCUGGCCGUCAUCAGAGACACAAAAGUCAUGUAGUUUUUGCGACCGACACAAUUGUUAAGCCACUGUAGCAUUUAUUACAACUAUGUCAUCUACUGAACCCAUGAAAAUCUAGUCAAAUAUCCAGACAAAGGCAACUGAUUGCAAUAAAAAAAUUUGAAAACAUGAGAGAGUUUACCUUGCAAUGGUGAUCGAAACCAUCAACGCAUUUAUCACAGCUUCGACAAUGCUUGCUGAACUUGCGUACCUGUGACAAAUUCAUGCAUAAUUGACUUUUAUAUUAAGGAGUAUACAUGUACACUUGACAAAUACAGCUAUGGGGACUUGACUGUAGCCAUGUUAUAUAUCUUGGAACCAUUGUUACUAUACCUCAGAAUUGCACAAUGUGCAAAAUAGAGCCUCUUCGCUGUUUCCCUGUUGUUCAGCUCUUUCUUCCUGUUUCCAGCAGUCCUCAAGAACAAACACGCAACAGAAGAUAGCCAGAGGAUUAUAGCAAGUUUUUCUACGAACAGAGUCCACUCUUUGAGCAUCUCCUACAGAACCUUUCACACUAGAGUUUGGUGCUAAGGUAGAACUCCUGGAGACAAUUGAAGGAGAAGACUGCAACUGACUGCCAGUUUCAUCAAAAUUCCUGGAGAUAUCUCUAGCUGAUAAGGCACGAGCCAUGUCAGCUCUGUGAAUGCCUGUAUCAAAUAUUGACAUGAUUCUUGGAUCUGCAGGGUUGAUUGCAGUACAGCGAACAUACAGAACGAACACAAGAAGAGCCUGCAAACACAUAAUCCAUCAACAUUGAGUAAUGCAGUAAGAUAUGUAUAUCUUCACACUUAUAAGCAUCAUCUCUAUUUCCUCGCUCAGAUGCUCAAAACCUAAAACUCGUGGAUGAAUUUGCAUAUUGAUACUAAAAAUCAAUGCUUGUGCUCUUGGUUAUAUGGUUUUAUUAAGUUGCUAAGAACGAACUUUAACUUAGAUUGUGAAGUAUACAACUUGAGAAGCAUUGAACAUACCACCGGAGAGUAAACACCGAUCAAGACGUAUUCCCAAAUGCGGCCACCGACGAAAGGAGCAAAGAAAGCAUAAUAAGCGACCACCAACAAGCAAAACACAGUAAUCGCAAUCACCUGACAACAAACAUAUAUCAGGAGCCAUUUCUAUCGCCAAUCAAAAUCACAACUUUUGAUUGACCAGGUUCGUCGACAGGAUCGUAUAAGAGAUUGGAAUUCGAUUAAUGGUUAUAGAAGGUUACGAAUCGAUUACUUGGAGUGUGUGAGCGGGAAGUUGCCAACCGUGUUUCCUCACCAUAGCUUCUCCAAUAGCAACAACAGAACAACCAGAGAACUAGUCGAAACCCUAAUGUCAACAACGUCUCCGCCACGGUUUCACGGCCGGGAGAUGAUCAAGUGGGAGGCGGAGCUGUGAGAGGGAAGAAAAGGAAAGUGACUGACUGAGAAAAUAUCGUCUCUCUCUCUAACUCUGACUGUGGCAGGUUUUAGUCGUAAUUAUUGACCAAAAAACUAUUACAUCUAUUAUAUUAAAACACAAGCACAUUUAGUUGAUUGUUUCCUAAAUUUUUUUAAAAAUAUUUUAUAUAUAUAUAUAAAUUUAAUUCCGAAAAUUAGAUAUUAAUUUAGAUAACUAAAAAUUUGCUUAAAUAUAGGUUAUAUCUAUAUUCUAUAGAUAUUAAUUUAAAUAGAUUUUCUUAAAUAUAGGUUAGAUUUAAUUUAAUAUUUGAAAUUUAAAUAAAAUUUUUAGAAUAACACAUAUGAUUAAAAAAUAUCUUAUUAUAUUUUUUAAUUAUAUUAUAUCAGAUUAAAAUUUCACAUAUUAAAAAUAGAUAAAUAUUAAUAUUAUAUAAUAAUUUGAUGGGAUAAGUUAAGUUUUUUUGUUAGGUUAUGAAAGCAUGCAUGAUAUUAAGAGAAAAUUAUUUCAAAAUUAGUAAAUAAUUAUAUUAUAAAAUAAUAUAAACGGGCGGAUUAGAAUUAUUGUAUCAUAAAUAUGGUUUUUCGUAUUAAUAAAAUGAGCAAGUUAGAAAUACAUUUUUAUAAUAACAGUCACUUUUAAAUUAAUAAAAUAAUCGGGUUUAAAUUAUAUUUUUAUGAUCAUGAUGGUCAUAAUAAUACUGAAAAAAAUAUAUAUCUAAACACAAAUUCUUUUUAUACCACUUAUUAACAAAUUAUAUUUAUAAAGAAAAUAUAAAUUUUGAUUAAAACAAAAUUCCUGUGCGAAUGCACGGGGUAAAAUCUAGUUAGGAUUAAUUUCGUGGACUAAUUCUAACAUACAAUAUUUUCUAUAAUUUUUUGUUUUUUUGUUUUUCCAGCUAUCUUUUUCAUCUUUAAAUAAAUUCCAAUUCCUGACACAGUCGAAAAUAAUAUAGAUAAAUUUUUACACAAAAUUAAAAACUUGUUAGAAUUUUUUUUUAAAAAAAAUUGGAGUAUUUUAGGUUUUAGGUUUCUCACCACCCUAACUACUUGAAAAUACCAAGUUUUAAGCUUUCAAGUUUGAUUUAUAAUAGUUUAUUACACAGUCAUAAAAAAAUACAAACUAAAUAUAUAGAUGUUUUAAAAUUAAAAGGAAAAAUACAAGCUAAUUUAGUUAUUUUGUUCGUUUUUAAAAUAAUUUGGACCAACCAUUUAAAAGCCUAAGUCUAGUCGGACAGCCAAUAGACUAUAGUAAUUAUUAAUGAUGCCAUUAAUUCACGCUUCAUCUAUUUUACCUGGCAAGUGUUGGCACGCGCAACGCGUGCGCCGUAGGGAAGUAUCGAACACCGAGAAAAAAAAAACCAAACAAAAAAAAAUGUCUCUCUUAAGUGGAGAGAGAGAGAGAGACAACAAUAUCAUCAACAACACGGUGCUGCGUUUAGACAAGAGAGAAACCCUAGAAAACCAAAAAAAAAGAGGAAAUUCGUGCCUCCUUACCUCCCACUCGCUUCCUUAGAUCGCGUGAACACCACACACGAGAUUUCUCUCUUCUCUCUUCCCUCUUCUCUCUAUCGUCCUCUUCCUUUCGCAGAUCGAAAACGCCAACUCGCACCGAUUGGCGCGUGCGUUGCCUUCUUCUUCCUCGAAUCUUCGUCUUUCUUGAGAUUAUAGAUUGGUUUCUUUCGAUUCUUCUUGUUUUCCCAAUCUCUCUGCUCUUCGUACCAGGUAAUUUCAUUUACUGGAACCACAUAUAUAUCUACAGUGUUUGAUCAGCUUCUCUUCUUGUUUCAAUCAAAUUGAAAUUCGGAUUCAGGAAUAUGUAAUUACCUGCUAUGAUGAAUGAUAUCGUUAACCACUAUGAAUUUUAGCUUCAAGUUGCUACCUUUUCUGCAUUUGUGAGAACAAAAUGUAUCCAUCGAACUUGAUUCUCUGAUCUUUUUGACCUAAAGAUAGAUUUUUUCAGUGUUGCAGGGAGUCUGCUUCCUUAAAUUAUAGGAAAAAAGUUAUCUUUUGUCAUGGAUAUAGAUCUUCGACUACAUUCAGGUGACCUCUGCAAGGAAGGUGAUGAUGAUAGAGGACUUGACAAUGUGUUGCAGAACGAGCACAAGCUUCAUGAUGCUGAUGAAGAUAUGGACAUUGGCAAAAUCGAGGACGUCACUGUCGAGGUACAAACCGAUGACAGUGUAGGCAUGGGUGUUCCAACGGUGGAGUUGGUUGAAUACACAGAAGGUACGAACCCUGAACCUUUCAACGGUAUGGAGUUUGCGUCACACGGCGAGGCGUAUUCGUUUUACCAGGACUAUUCUCGAGCGAUUGGAUUCAACACUGCGAUACAGAACAGUCGUAGGUCAAAGACGACGAGAGAGUUUAUAGAUGCCAAGUUUGCUUGCUCUAGGUAUGGUACUAAAAGAGAGUAUGACAAGUCUUUUAACAGGCCACGAGCUAGGCAGAGCAAGCAAGACCCUGAGAAUAUGGCUGGUCGACGAACGUGUGCGAAAACAGAUUGCAAAGCUAGCAUGCAUGUUAAGAGAAGGCCUGAUGGGAAAUGGGUGAUUCAUAGCUUUGUGAGGGAGCAUAAUCAUGAGCUUUUACCUGCACAAGCUGUGAGUGAGCAGACUAGAAAGAUAUAUGCUGCUAUGGCUAAGCAGUUUGCGGAAUACAAAACUGUUAUUAGCCUGAAAAGCGAUUCGAAGAGUUCUUUUGAGAAAGGUCGGAGUUUAUCAGUGGAGACGGCGGAUUUCAAAGUCCUGCUUGACUUCUUGUCACGGAUGCAAAUCUUGAAUUCCAACUUCUUUUAUGCGGUGGAUCUUGGCGAUGAUCAGCGGCUGAAGAAUGUGUUUUGGGUAGAUGCAAAGAGCAGGCAUAACUAUGGCAGCUUUUGUGAUGUUGUUUCUCUAGAUAUCACAUACGUUAGAAACAAGUACAAGAUGCCACUUGCUGUUUUUGUUGGAGUGAACCAGCACUACCAGUAUAUGGUCCUUGGGUGUGCUUUGAUAUCCGACGAGAGUGCAGCAACAUUUUCUUGGUUAAUGGAGACCUGGCUGAAAGCGAUGGGUGGACAAGCUCCAAAGGUUUUGAUCACUGAGCAAGAUGUUGUAUUGAACUCCAUUGUCCCCGGAAUCUUCCCCAAUACCCAACAUUGCCUUUUUCUUUGGCAUGUUUUGAUUAAGGUUUCUGAGAAUCUUGGUCAAGUUGCUAAGCAACAUGAAAAUUUUACAUCAAAGUUCGAGAAGUGCAUCUAUAAAUCAUGGAAGGAGGAAGACUUUGCUAGAAGAUGGUGGAAGAUUCUUUCUAGAUUCGGCCUCAAAGACGAUCAGUGGAUGCAGUCGUUAUAUGAAGACCGCAGGAAAUGGGCACCGACCUACAUGACUAAUGUUCUUUUGGCAGGGAUGUCUACACCUCAAAGAGCUGAUAGUGUUAACGCCUUCUUCGACAAGUACUUGCAUAAGAAGACUAGUGUACAAGAAUUUGUGAAACUAUAUGAUACAAUUUUGCAAGAUAGAUGUGAAGAAGAAGCCAAAGCUGAUUCUGAAUCGUGGAACAAGCAGCCAGCAAUGAAGUCUCCAUCGCCUUUUGAGAAGAGUGUUUCUGAAGUCUAUACUCCUGCUGUAUUCAAAAAAUUCCAGAUUGAAGUUUUGGGUGCAAUUGCGUGUAGUCCCAGAGAGGAGAACCGAGAUGCAACUUGUUCUACUUUUAGAGUUCAGGAUUUUGAAAACAACCAGGACUUCAUUGUAACAUGGAACCAAGCAAAGGCUGAAGUCUCUUGCAUCUGUCGGUUAUUUGAGUACAAAGGCUAUCUCUGCAGACACACGCUUAAUGUUCUUCAGUGUUGUCAUCUUUCUUCCAUCCCCUCGCAGUACAUAUUGAAGCGGUGGACAAAAGAUGCAAAAAGCCGGCAUUUUUCAGGAGAACCUCAGCAGUUGCAGAGUAGGCUGCAGCGGUAUAACGACUUGUGCCAACGAGCGUUGAAGCUGAAUGAAGAGGCAUCGUUCUCUCAAGAGAGUUACAAUAUUGCAUUCCUUGCCAUUGAAGAAGCUUUGGGAAAUUGUGCUAGUGUUAAUACUUCCGGCAGAAGUCUUCCAGAUGUGGUCACCUCGCCAACUCAAGGUCUGAUUUCCGUCGAGGAGGAUAACCAGAGCAGAAUUGCUGGCAAGACAAGCAAAAAAAAGAAUCCAACUAAGAAAAGAAAAGUAACUUCUUGUUUACGAUCUCUUUUUGCAUUCAACUUAAGGUUUUUCUUGCCCUUUUAUGGUUUGGAAGUCUGAUGAUUCGAAAUACCAAUUGCAGGUGAACUCAGAGCAGGAGGUUAUGCCAGUUGCAGCGCCAGAAAGCUUGCAACAGAUGGUCUCUCUUUGUUGAUAUGUCGUAGCAAGCUUUUGUUAACUUAAGAGUCCCCUAAGUAUUUGAUAUCUGACUUUUAUAAUUGCAGGAUAAGUUGAGCCCAAGGACAGUCGGCAUUGAAAGUUAUUAUGGAACACAGCAGAGCGUGCAGAACAUGGUAAUUAAUCACAAAAUACUCAUAUUAUUCUCAUAUAGACUGAGAUUUUCUGUAUGUAAUCUGGUAUGAUUUGUGUGAUUACAGGUCCAGCUGAAUUUAAUGGCGCCAACUCGCGAUAAUUUCUAUGGGAAUCAGCAAACAAUUCAAGGAUUGGUAUGAAAAUCGACCAUGACAACUCUCUGUAAAACUAGCUUCUGCUGUUUUUUCUUUCAUUAAUUUUUGGAUAAAAAACAAAAAUCCCCGGCUGGUUUUAUGUAGCGACAGUUGAACUCAAUAGCGCCAAGCUACGACAGUUACUACGCUGCUCAGCAAGGCAUCCAUGGACAGGUAACAGUUAUUCUCAGAGCUUUCAAGAGCAAUGUCAAUCUCUUACAAGACUGCAAUCAAAAAUGAUCAUUCUUACUCUUUUUUUUCUUUCUAGGGAGUUGAUUUCUUCAGGCCACCCAAUUUUCCUUAUGAUAUCCGGGUAAAUUUUCUGUUGUAAUAACAGAUUAUCACCUUUUCUUUUCCUGUUUGUAUCAAGUGGAUUAUCUUGUUCAUGAAACACUUAUUUUCACUACAGGAUGAUCCUAAUGUGAGGACUACGCAGUUGCAUGAGGACGCAUCUAGACACUCAUAGACAAAACUAUAGCCCAACUGCGAAGCAAAUCUCAAAAUGCUUUGGAUGAAAGGUUCAAAUCUCUGUAGAACAGACGCCAACAAGCACUAGAAAGAAGCUCAUUUGACACACUGAGGUUUGGAACAGAACAAGAGCAUGAUCUGUUUUUAUCUGCUCACGUGUUUAAUAGGAUGUUGUAUUGUUUCGCUUAUUAUCCCAGAGAUUCGCUUCUGUUAAUAUUGUUCGUGUUUGUAUUGUUAGUUCAGAUGAUCACCAAGCUUUGAUCAUUGACUGCUCGAUUUUAGAGGGAAAAAAACAGUGUUUAGAGAUAUUCUCUAUUUGUAAACUCUUGUUAAUUCUUUUGAUCAAGUUUCUUAAAUUUGUAUCAGAAUUAAGCCUGAUCUUGAAACCAAAUACAAAAAUGGUAUAUGGCUUGUUCAUUGAUCCCCUACCUUAUAUUUUUAACAUUUGUAGAAUGGAUCUCACAUCAUAAUCUACUACACAGUAUUUAUCUGAAAACAACAAAAAUGUGCUUUUACUUUUUACUGAACACAUUUAUAGACAUAAAACGCCUAAAUUUGAUAAAAUUUUAGUAUAUACCAAAUAUGGAAAGGGAAAAUGUGCUCUCCCCCUAAACAAACUACUAUGUAUAUUUUUGACAAAAAAAUUCAAAAUAACAAACUACGUUAUUCCAUUGAUGCAAAAUUCUAACAGAACAGAACGAUGAGAUAGUAACUAUUAUGACGACGUUAGAAUCAAAUUAUUGUUUUCUUUGAAAAUUCUCACUAGUUUCCUAUUUGGUCGUCUCUUGUUUAGCAUUCAUUUCAAAGUCACCUGUCCCGUCAAUUAAUUUGUGUCCACUUAUUCCCUAUUAAAUUGCGUAAAUAAUACAUAUCAACUAUUGAAACACUAGUCGCAAUUAAUCUUUCCUCAGUUUACUACCACAGUGGAUUUAAAUAAUCUUAACAUCUAAAAUAAUCAAAUAGUAUGCAAGAGUGUAGAAAGCAUCUAACACACUAGGAUAUAUCCUGAGUUUCUUAUCAAAAUUUUAAUAAUAUAUCACUGUCCAAUGGUUAUAUAUAAAUCUUAGCAACAUCUUCUUGAUUUAUUUCGUUGUCUCGUUGAUGAUUUUGUUAUCAGGCUCGUGCCUAUAUGUACUAAAAUAAAACAUUGGCCUACGGGCCCAUAGUUUUAAGAAAAUAUUAAGGAUCUAAUUUUUUUAUUAGAUUCAAUGUCUCAGAGUCCUAAUAAAAUUUUAAUCAAAAUAGUUAAUGAUUUUUUUUUUCAGAAAUAGUAAUAAAUAUUGGAAAAAGAAAUUAGGGUAAUAUACAUGAUCUGCCUAAUCAAUUGUUUUUAAUUUUUACAUUCGUCUCUUUACCUAUUUUCAACCAGAGAUAAUGUAUGUUUAUUUUUUUCUUCUACAUUUACAAACAAAAUCAUAAUCAAUUGGAAAAUAUUUUUUUUUUCAUUUAAUAGCCUACUGUUAACUACUAUUAGUUUUUCUCAAAUAUAGAAUAGACAUAAGCACAAUUUAAUAGUUAUUAUUUAUUCUAUGAAUUGAGGCAUUCUUGGUACCGCCUAGGGUCUCAAUAGCUCUAGAUUAUGUCUUUAAGUAUCAUAUACGAAUAUCUAUUUCUUUUUGUAAUUUGACUAAUCGUUCGUUUUCGCUGAUUAAAACAGCUUAAAGGCUUUUCAUUCUGUUGUGGGUUGAACAAAAUUGUCGGUGUAUCAUAUUCUAUUACGUCUAACCUAUACCUAUAUUAUAACUUUUUUAAAAUGAUAUAUAUGCAUGUAGAACUUAGUAUAUAGCAAAUCGCAUCAUUAUCAUUAUCGUAAGACCCUCGUUACUUCGUGCUAUAUAAUACGGCUACUGCACUAAGCAGGCAACGUGAAAUGAAAUAUAUUAACGUUUUUGUUAGCAAGAACGUACAGAAAAAUAUGCCGUCAGCUUUGUGACGAUUAUGUAAAGUGAGGGACUUAAUUUACUAUUUAAUAAAAAAAUACACACAAUAGUGAAAUGGGCCAAUUUCGUCAACUUGUUGGGAAAGUAGCCAAUAGCAAACAUAAUUCUACUAGUUUAUUGAUAGAUAAAACUCAACUCAACUAACUGUAACUUCGUAAGGUCCAUUAUUUUAUAUGAAUUUUUGAUAUCAUCGAAUGAGGUUAAAUCAGAAUAGGUAAACUAAGUACCAAAAAAAAGAUUUAUCAAUUAAACACAAAAAGUAGAUUAACGCAAAGCUACAAAAUCAACGUGUAAUGAAAACGUUCCCUAAAUCAACGGUCACGAUUGAUUAGAAAUUUUUUAGAAUAGUCUUCCUUUUGACCAAGUCGAAUCAAAAUUAAACCUAGAUAAAUAAGAACUAAAGGAAGACAAAAGCUUUUAGCUUCUUUAGUUCUUUCUUUCUUAUUACAACAAAUCUCAACAUAGUCUUUUUACAAACACAACAAAAAAUGGCUAACCCAAACGAAUGGUCUCAGUUCUACAACAACAACCAAACUUUCUUCACAACUUCCACCAUCACUUCAACCACCGUCACAACCGCUUCUCCCUCCGGUGAAGCCACCUCCACAGACUCUCGUCUGAGUCCUGAAACCGGUCGUGUAACAAAACCGGCACGUAGAAGAUCAAGAGCUUCACGUAGAACACCAACAACACUUCUCAACACAGACACAUCCAAUUUCCGUGCCAUGGUUCAGCAGUUCACUGGUGGUCCAUCCGCUAUGGCUUUUGGUUCCGGUAAUACUACUUCCGGUUUUAGCCUCACCACUUCGUCGGAUCCAACCGCCGGAUCUUCUCAACAAACUCCUUGGCAAUAUAAUUUCCAGCCUCACGCGCCGCCGCAGCCUCCUCCUCAAAGGGCUUAUAUGUUCUCGUUGAGCAACGUGAAUCCCAUCGUUGGGUAUAGUAACAUGAACAACCCUAAUAAUACUUUGGUUUCCGGUGUGUUUGGAACGGUGGAUGGUGGUGCUGGUGCUCCGUCGUCUAAGGAGGCAACGAAUAGUAAUACGUCUUCUUCGAGGCUACAAUGAGAAAACGAUUGGAUUCUUUUGAAUUUUUUUUUUUUUUUUCGCAUAAAGGCAGAAAUGUUAGGUACUGACUUUCUUUGUCAUAGAAUGAAAACUUUGACUUUUGUAUAUUUAAGUUUUUUCGUUUUCAUAUUUAAUAUUUUUUCUUUUUAGGCUCAAGAGAUUAUAGCGUUAUCAUGGCCCUAAAUCCGCAAAUAUUCAGUAACUGAAGUUGCAUACUUGCAUUCCAUAUUGCAAACUGUCAAUCAAAAUUUUAAAAAUGGUGAUUAUGGAUUGUGGACUAUAUAUUUUUUUUUAUUAGAAUUUAAAUUUAAACAGUUAAUAUGCUCGAACACUAAUGUAUAUCAAUUAUCACAUAUAAUAUUUAUAAUAAAAAAAAAAUCACGUGAAGUUCUCAAGUGCAUGUGAAAGUUUAUAUCUUUUCCAAAAUACUAGUCAAAGAAAUAUAUAUAUAUAUAUAGCAUAGACUAAGGCAAAUAGCUUACAUAUCAAAAUUUUCUGUGCUUAUUGGAUUGUAGACAUUCAAAUACGAAAAUUGUGUGGAUAUUUUCCAAAUUAGCUCGAUAAAAUAGAGAGUACGUAUGAAUAUAAGUUAUAACUAAAAAGUGCAUAUAACAGAGGACCAUGAGGCAUUUGUAUUAUUGUGAAAUUAGUGUGAAUGUAGCUUUACCAAAUUAGCUCGAUAAAAUAGAGAAAAUGAAUAAAAUGUUAUAACUUCAUAAUUUCUUUUAUAAAACGUGCAUAGAGGAUCAUGAAGCAUUUGUAUUCUUAUUAUUGGAUUGUAGACAUUCAAACAUGAAAAGAAUGUGAAUGUCGCUUUACAAAUCAGCGCGAAAAUAUAGAAAAAUUAUAUGUUUUGUCAAAAAAUAUAUAUAAUAUAUAAGUUAUAACUUUUUUUUCUUUUUCUUAGGGCACAAUAUAUAGUUACAUAUUAAUCAUAUGACUUGUAGACGGAAAACGGUGAUUAGCCUUUUCCUUUUGACAACUUAAAUUUGACCCCCUUUUUUUCUUUGUCUUUGAUCAUUAACAUUUAGGAUUAUUGAAAUACAUCGAAGGAGAAUUUUCCUGAAGACUAGAAUAAUCUUUUUUUUUUUUUUUUUUUGAAACGGGACUAGAAUAAUCUUUGACAGUAAAAUUUGGAGAAGAGAGUAUUGGAUCAUACCGAAAUCAAACUUGCCUUUCGUUCGGAAACGGAGGAAGCUUUUUGGUGAAGGUAGGCUACCAACAUGCCUAGAUUCUUAUCGUUUAUUUUCUUUUCUUUUCCAAUUCCUUCGCUAAAAUUAAUUUAUGAUUAUUACUAUAUUUGAUUUGACGGAGAUCGAAGUUAAUAUAGAGUUUGGCAUAAAUAUAUACCAAAGCCUCGCAUUCACGGUAGAUAACAAAUACUUAGUCUUAUAGAAUGUCUGUAGUUUUUUUUUGUUUCUUUUGUAAUUUCGUUAGGUUUCAGAUUCCUACGAUAAAUCCAUAAAUCAAUGAAAGAGAAUAAUUUUAUCAUGUCGUAUUCGUGUUUCUUUUGGACAAAAGAAAUAAAAAUAAAAUAAUAUUGAAGAAAUGAUAAAAAUAAAAUAAAAUGAGUGAGAAAUGGGUUGGGAAGAGGGGAUGAAUCUAAGCACAUUGUGGGUCCCAUUAAGCUUAAGUGAAAUUGCACUUCUCUUUUACUAUCGAAAACAUCUAAAGAUCUCUUACUCAUACUUUUAUAGAUUCUAAUGUUAUUUAUGACUAAAUCAUGUCUCUUUUCAUUAGAUAUGGUUUCAUUAAUUCAUUAAAUUUAAAUAAUCUAACUUAUUUUCUUAGAAAGUAUAGAAACACAACUAGACUAAAAGGUGAUUUUAAAACACAUGAAAGGAUUGAUUGGAACAAACUCUCUAAUAUUCUUUCACCUAACAGUUUUUGCAGUCAUAUAAAUGUAUUUAAUUGUAUUUAAUUGGAUAUAAACAUAUUUCUUAUGAGUUUAUGGAGAGGUGGACUAGUGGUUGAGUUGUAGUUUUUCUAGAUGGCCAUGUAAUUCUCAAAACUCCAUGCAUUAUGGUAUUUGUAAUAUUUAGUGUAAUCAUAUAUGUAAACAAAAAUUUCAAACUCAUUAAAAAGUUCCACCUCAUUAGAAAUGUACAUAAAUUUGUUCAAUGUAUUUUUUUUUUUUUGUUUUUUGACAUGAUUAAUGUUUUGUUGUUUAGAAUCAGCUUUUUAAGUUUCUCAUAAUUUAUGAAAACGAAGCAAGUAAAAUUAUUAGGUUUAUAUCUUUAAAUUUUCCCUACAUGAGCUUAAAUUUGUGUAUAAAUUCAAUUCCAUUCAUCAUUUAUUCUAAAUUAUGAAAAUUUAAUAAUUAUAAUAUUUCCGUUUACAAAAGAAUUGGCCUAGAGUGAAGAUGAGAGAAAGGAAACUACAAUGGUGUUUACAACUCUUUUUGUCCCAGUUUCUACUCUGCCUUCUUCAUGAUCGGCUUGUAAUAUUGGAUACAACGACCAAACUGUACAAUGUGUGGCAAAGAAUGGUCUAAAACCUCCAUCUGCUGUUUUAUGUCUGGUAAAGUUCUCUCAGGGAUCAGAUCCAGAGAUGGCUAAUUAGGUAGAAGAAUUGCUGAAGACAAUGAUGAACAAAGAGUGUUUAUGACCAUUAAGAUUUGCUUCAACCUCAAUAAAAAAGAGCUUCAGAAAGCAAAGUUAUGAGAUUUUUGCGAGCUUACCCACUUUUAAGGCCUUGAAACAUCUCACUUUUCCUCGCAUCUUAUAUCCAUACUCUGUGAGAGCUAAAGAGUUACUGGUAUUCUCCUUCACUCAUCCAAUUCAAAACUUGGAGUAACAGUUGGGAAUGACGUCAGAUACGAAUCGCCGUCUCUCAUAUCUUUAGCUAAACCGUCGAUUACAUCGUAUAUCUCAUCAGACUGAGGAUGCUCCUGAUCUUUAGACACAAAACAGUUUACAUAACCUGCAACCUCAAUCCCACUACGACCAACUUCUUUCCUCAAACCCUUUUCUCUCAUUCCUCUCCUCAACCUAUCAACGCCCGUCCAAUUUUUCUCCUCAGCAUACAUAUUCGAUAGCAAAACCUGAUACCCUGAAAAGUUCUUUCCUUUAUCUACUUUAGCUAACUUCUCUGAAACAGUUUCAGCGAGAUCAAGCUCAUUGUGUAGUCUACACGACCCAAGAAUUGAACCCCAUAGCUCAGCUACAUUUCCUUCUUCACCAAGUCCUUUAACAAACUCAUAGGCUUCAUUAACCCGGCCUACUCUCCCUAACAUGUCUGUAAUGCAGCAAUAAUGCUCAUUCGAAGGCUGAAUGUUAUAAACUUCUCUCAUUUCCUCGAAUAUCUUGAGACCUUCAUCCACUAGACCGGAAUAGCUGCAAGCUGAUAACACUGCAACAAAGGUGAUCGCAUCGGGUUUGAUUCUCGACUCUUCCAUUGAACGGAAAAGCGAGAUUGCUCUCUCACCCAUUCCAUGUUGACCAUACCCCAAUAUCAUCGUGGUGUAUGUCACAGAAUUUCUCUCUUUCGUCUGAGAAAACAUGUUUUCUGCAUACGUUAUCACUCCUGACUUUGAAUACAUAUCAACUAAGGCAGAAGCGACAAAUACGUUCUGAUCCAAGUAUUGCCUGAUAGAGAAACCAUGGAGCUGUUUACCUAAGUCGAUACUACCUAUUUGGCUACACACAGGGAGAAUCGAUGCCAGAGUAACAGCAUUGGGUCGGAUGUUCUGUUCUAACAUCUUCCUGAACACAACAAACGUUUCCUCUGUGUGUCCAUUCUGAGCAUACCCGGAAAUCAUAGAAUUCCAAGUAGCUUGAUCUCUUUCAGCAUAACCACUUCUCUCAAAAAGCUUCUGUGAGAUCCUAAUUAGACCUGACUUAGCAUACAUGUCGAUAAGGUAACUGUUCAUUCCUUCAAACUGAAUCCCGUGCCUGAGAAGGAAACCAUGAGUCUGCUUCCCAAUCUCUUGGUUUCUAAGAUUUGACGCAGCCGAAAGCAAAGCAGUCACAGUUAUGGAAUCAAGCUUAAACCCUUGCCUUUGCAUCUCGUACACCAACAUCAAUCCUUCAUCAUCUAAGCCAUUUUGGACAAAUGCAGAGAUCAUAGUAUUCCACGAUACAACAUCUCUCUCUCGCAUUGAAUCGAAGACUCCAAAUGACUCGUGCACAGAGCCACACCUCGAGUACAUCACCAUCAACGAGUUAAAUAUCACAAUCGGUAGCUCUUGAAAUUUCUUGCUGACGAAACCAUGAAACUGCCUGCCUAAUUCCACUUGCUGCAGAGCUGAAACAGCACUUGCUGCCAAGAGGAACGUUACUUCGUCAGACACAAUCUCUUUUGAUCCUACUGCUUCAAGAAAAAGAUCGAUACUUUCAACAAGGUAAUCGUUCUGAACACAGACCCCAAUCAUUGUAUUCCACACCUCGAUGUUUCUCUCAACGCAAGAUUCAAAAACUCUCCGUGAUGAUUCAAGAUCGCCAAGCUCGGCAUACAUAGAAAUAGCCGAACUCACCACAAACAAGUCCUUCACAUACUCAUCACCCAGUUUAAGCAUCAAACCAUAAAAAACGUUAGCUUUCUUAAUGCUUCUCGAAGUCGACACCGCGGGGAAAACAUUGACAAAGCUAACCGGGCUCGGUUUAAUCUCCAUUCUCAUCAUAAUCGCGAACUGCCUACACGCUUCUGCGUUUCUCUCUGUUUUCACAUACCAAGAAAUCAGCGUAUUCCACGCCACAACGUUCUUCCUACGCAUAUUAUCGAAAACUUUACGCACCACAUCGUAAUCAGAAGAAUCCAAUUCACUCACAGGAGCGUUCAAGCACGAAACGUACAUAUUCAUCAGAGAAUUAUGCACAACCCUGCUUGAGUUCUGUAAACAACGAAUCAAAUGGCAAUGCACGGCCUUACCAGCUUUCAAGUUUCUGGUCUCAGCACACGCCUUGAGUGUAGAAGAGUAAGUGUAAGGAUCACAUUUGGUGAAAGGUGCCGUCUUUUUCAUCCGGGAGUAGAAAAGGAGAGCCUCGUGAGGCAGAUUGUUGCAGAUAAAGCCGAUGAUGAUGGUGUUCCAUAGAACAGUGGUUGGUUUGGGAAUUGCGUCGAAUAGUUGGCGUGCGAGUUGUGGGUUACCAUCUUGGCAGAUUCUGCUGAGGCGGGAACGAAUGGAAGGCGUUUGGGGAGUGAGGUUUGGCGGUGAGAAGGAAGAAGAAUGUCGGGUUUGAUUUUGCGGCGGAGAUUGGAACGACAGUGGCGGUGGCGGUGGAAGUGGCAGAGCUGAUCCGGCCAUUAUGAAGGAGAUGACGAAGAAGAAGAAGAAGAGCCUUUAUUGGCUCUCUUCUUUCUAUGUUAUCAUCUUUGAAGUUUCAGUGAUAAGAGUUUGUUUUGUUAGUUUAUUUUUUAAUUACACUCAAUAAAUUUAUAAAUAUUCCAUUUUUCUAAACAAUUUACAAUCUUCUUCUUUUAUUGCUAUUUACCAAAUUAAACAAAACAAAAAGAAAAAAACAUAUAACAGAAAAACAGAGGCUCUGUUUCACAUUAUAUAUUGGGCUUCUUUAUCAAAAUUAUAUUUAUUGGGCUAAAAACGGCUUAUAUAUUGGGCGGUAAAGUGCAAUAUUAAUGGGCUCUAGAUUGCUUCGGCUUGUUUGAGUCGACCCAAAGUGGGACAAACCUAAAUCCAAAUCCUCCAGAAUUGUACUAGGUAAUAGGUAUGAGCAUUAACUCUCUACUAUCAUUAUUUUUGUUCUUUUGUCAAGGACACUGUAUUUCCUUUUUUGUCAUGUAUAUGAAUCUAUUUUGUUUGUGCUGAAAAGUAUAUUUACGAGAUAAGUGGCAUAUUUUAAAACAUGUCAAUUCUUCCAUAUUUUAUUUCAAAGUUAGCUACAUACAGCAUACAAAAAAAAUACAGAUUCGGACAAAAUAUAGAGCAAUAUAUCAAAGGAUAGGUUGAAAAAAGGACAAGGCAUAAAAGAUAUUUUGUUCUUACCUACAAUCGUGUCACAAAAAUAAUAGAGUUUUGGUGCUUGAGUUUUGAUGCUUUUGUUUUGAUACAUUAUUUACAGUAUGUUGCUUUUGGCAUCUUGAAAGAGUUGCUAUUAUAAAUUUAAGUUUUGGGGGACCUUACAGAAUAGACGUCUCUAAAAUCAAUAAUACUAGGAGAUAAGACAACAACAUUAGUAAAAGUAACUUAUAAAAACAAGAAAAUACUUUUACGUAUUCGGUUAUUCCUUUUUGAAUUAAUUAUCAUUAUAACAUUUUUUAUAUAUGUUUUAAAUUUAAAUCAAUGUCAUUGUGGAUUUUGAAUAUAAUUUUGGUUUAAAUUAUUAUUCUAUUAAAACAGAAGCAUGUUUUGUGUCCAAACAGAUUUUUUUAGUUUUUUACUAUUCUGUAUUUGGAUAACUGUUUUGUUAUUUUUGUUUUUAAUAUAUUUUUAAUAAAAUAAUAAAUUUGAAUUUUAUUUUUAAAAUUAAUGAAAAAAAUCAAAUUUAAAUUUGAUUAGUUUAGAUUUUUUUAGAUAUAUAGGUAAGAUUAAUUAUAAAAAUUAUUUGUUAUUAUUUUUAUAAAAAUAAUAAAUAAGAUAUUAAUUUAUUUUCUAUUUAGAUAUUUAAAUUUAAAUAAUAUUUUCAUAUUUGUAAGAUGAUAAAAGAUAUAUUAUUAUAUAGUUUUUUAUGAUCAAUCUUUUUAAAAAUUUAAAUAUUUAAAAUUAAUAAAAUUUUAUAUUAUAUGGUAAUAUGAUAGAACAUAACAAAAUUAUAUUUUUUAUUUAUAAUUUUUCAGAUUAAUCGAAUGGAUGCAUUUAAAAUAUGUUUUUAUUGUAAAUUUAAAAAUAAAUUUUAUCUAAACACAAAAAUAAAUUUGUAUUAUUAUUAAAAAAAAUCAUAUUUGUAAAAAACACAAAUUACAUUAUAAAAUAAAAUUAAAAAAAUAAUUUUUUUGUGCGUCUGCACGAGAUAGAAUCUAGAAUAACAUUCCAAAAAAAAAUUUGCUUUGGCAGAAAUAUGUAUAGUAAAAAUAAUUAAUAUGUUUUUUUUAAUUUGAGUGAAAAUUUUUAAAAUGAUAUGUAACAUGAAAAAAUGUGUAAUAUUAUAUUUGCAAGGUGUAAGUGCCAAACCUUCACAAUCAGAUUUAUUGUCUGAUAGACUACUAAAGUAUCAAUUGAAAUAAUGUCCAUUUUUGGAAGUUCAACUUUGAAGCCAAAAAAAAAUGCUCAACCUAUUAUAAACGAAAAUUGCAUUAAUUCUGAUAAAUCUAAAUUCAAAUACAUUUCUGACGUCAAAAAGAAAGAAAAAAAAUGUAUGUUUUAAAGCUGAAAUCAGCAUUUAAACAUAUUGGUAAUACAUAUGAGAUGAUGGUUAUGUACUUAUGUGUAAUUCGUUUGGGAUUUUUUUUUCCAAAUAGGCUCAACGCCACACCAUACUAUUUGAUUUUUGAUUUUUAAUUUUUUUUUUUUGGUGAUGCUUAUUGCCAUAGUUUUUUUUGUUACAGUCUUAUUGCCUAAAUCUGUUAUUUUUAACUAUUAAUAAUGUCUUAGAACACAGCCGCGUAAGCAUAUACAUAUGAUAGAAGACCUCUGCAAAUUAAAAACCUCGUAUACUAUCGUAUGAAAAUAGUCUUCUUUGCUUUCUCAAAAAACAUAGUCUUCUUUUUCUUUUAUAUGUGGAAAUAGUCUUCCCUUUUUUUUUUGCUAAUUAAAGAAAAUAGUCUUCUCUUUUAUUUACUGCUAAUUUGGUUUUGAACCAUCUUAUUUUAAAAUAAAAAAAUGUACUGCUAAAAGGACUAACUUUAUAAUUAAAAAUUAAGUUCCAUAUCGUAACUCUUUUUUUGUUUUAAGAUUUUCGAAAUAAAAGGGCAAUAUUUUAGAAGUGUAAGAAAAUAUCAUACCAAUGACCAUAUCCUGAUCCAAUGUUUUUGCUCUUUUCUGCUAGUGAUUGACCGACUUAUUCAAAAUGUCAAAACUUUUUUUCUGUCAAAAAUAGAAAAUGUCAAAACGAUAAUCGUUUUCUUGUGUCCCAAUUUUAUUCUCUUUUCUGCUGAUGUGUAAAAAAUAUCAAAACCACUAUCGUCUUCUUGUCCCAAUUUCUUGGUCUUUUCUGCUGGUGAUGGACCAACAAUGUGACGUUACGAAUAGACGAAUAGUACUCAAGUACUCAGACGACCAUUAGUUUUAGUUUUAUUUUUUUUAAUUAGUGCUGCUGUUAUGAUGAGAGGAAACAAAGAAAACGAUAUAUAAAUUAUGGACCCGGUUAUACGGAAAAUUAGUACUCAGACGACCAUUAGUUUUAGUUGGCAGGUUGUACGUAAAAUUAGUGUAAACCCAAGAAGUCAUUCACUAUUAGGAUUUAAUUUUCUAGGAAUAAAAAACGUAAGACAGAGAGAGAUGGAUAAUGUUACGUAAUGAAUGGAUCUCAUCUCAUGCUCAAGCAAAAGAAUGGAUAUCGUGCACUCAUGCACCGUAAAUAUAUCGGAAGGACAAAAUCUUGAUACUUUUAGUUUCAUGAUUAUAUGAUUAUAUCAUACAAAGUGGGUUCGUACUUCGUAGCUAAUCCCUUUAACAAAAAGAAAGGUGGGUUGGUAGCUCUAAUAUCGGUUUCGAACACACAACUGAAUUAGAAGAUAAAUUAGAUUAUAUUUCGCGAAUAUAAAUAUUAAAUUGUCUAUAUACUGAGGAGCUAACAUUUCCAUGGGCGGAUGUAGUAAAGAAAGAGUGGGGUGAUGUGCCCCUACUUUUUUGAUUCGUUUUUUUAAUAUUUAAGCAAAUUCAAUGAAAAUAAAUUUAAUUUAGUAGUAAAAAAAUUAUUUUGUCCUCAACUAAUUUUUGUUUUUCCUGUUUAUAAAUUUAUUAUGUCCCCAAUUAAAUUUUUUCUAGAUCUGAAGAUAUGUAUACAUUUUCUAAAAAAGAAGAAGUUUAACUUGUUAUGAACUGUUUAUAUAUAAUAUAUAUAUAUAUAUAUGUGUGUGCGUGUCAGUGUGUGUGGUUUAGUUGUUUUGAACUGUGCGCGUAAAAAUUGCCUUACAAUCACUGUUUGAAUUUAAUCAUAGCUAAACUAUAAUUUAGCAUUAACAAGUAGAUGUUUACGAGAUUUGAGUGGCCCAAGGUAAUACUCUAUGUCACCAAGAGGGUUCGAACCCUAACAUAAAACCCUCACAUAGUGAGAGAGAAAAUGCAUAUGAUGUGAAACGACUUGAUUAAAAGAUGGAAAAAAGUAAUAGUAGAUGUUGAUCUUUUACAUUAUACUUUAAAUCCUAGACUGAAUAGUGAAUACGAUACCACUUACCAGCAACAUCAAUGUAAUAUAUAAGAUUAUUAUGAGAGCGUAUGGACCAUUUCGUAGAUUUGUGAUUCUAUGCAAAAUUUGAUUCUCCAUUUCUAUAGGUACAGACACAAACUAACACCCAAAAAUGACCUAAUAUCAUGAUAACAAAACAACGUGGACCUAAAAGAUGAACGAAAUGAGAGAAAAGGAUGUCUUUACUUAUCUCUUGUGACUGUAGAAAAUAGACAAUUGGUAGUGCCUCUUAAGUCAAAUAAUAAUGCAAAACUCUUUCGUAUUAUUGUCCCACUGGGCAUUACACUACAAAAACCUUUGGUUGCUCCCAUUGUUUUCACCCAAUAAUUACAAAAUAUGACUACGUCAAGUUCUUAAUUUUAUAACAUUCGCUAGCGAAUGUUAAUUUACUGAUUUCUAAAAUUUUAAAGACUAUACUAAGACUAGCUAGGCAUCGCUCCAUAAGUCUAAGGUUAUAGACUAGAUUUUAUGCUUUGAUUUCUCUGAUUUUGCUGGUUCAAUGCUUUGAUUUGAUGUUAGAUUGUAGAAUUUCGAAAAGAUAAAAAAAAAAGAUAGGAAAACAAAAAAAAUGAGGGAAGCUUGUCAAAAGAAGAAAUAAUUUCUGGACGAUUUUAUCUCUCGGGUGUAAUGUGUCAUGUGUGUGUGCUUUUUUUAAGUUUCAUAAAUAGAAUGAUAGUACAUGUGAUGAGCUCGCAUAAAAAAACACAUGCUACGUUAAUAAAGAACGGCGACCGAAUGAAACUAAUUUUGGUUAUUGUUAAAAAAAAAAAACUUAUUUUGGUUGAGCGUAUUUUCAUACAAUCUGGAAAAAAAUACAAAUUGAUGCAAGCGUACGUGGAUUUUAAAAUUCUUAUUUUUAAGAUGGUGGUGAUCGGAACAUUACAAUUAAUAUAAAGAACGGACAUUAGAUGAAUAUGGAGCAUUAUAGGCUCACACCGAUUGAACUGGUUAAUCGCGUUUGGGUAUUAAUGGUUGUUUCGCAAGUGGAGAAACACAACCUUCAUAUUAAGAUCGUAUUCUCAAAAAACUGUUCUUUCAAAGUUAAAACUUAAAAAACAAGUAAAAUUGUUCCACCAAUUGCCAAAAAUAAAAUAAUAAUCAGAACUACAAAAAAAUCUUACUAUAUCACGUUGUACAUGUAAUUCAAAAUUCUAACGAAUCAGAUUAUGAUACAUAUAUAUUGAUUAAUUAUUUUUUUGUUAGCUUUAAAAAGAAUGAUCUUUUCUAUUUUAACUAUGGAUUAGUGCUGACAGAGUUAAUAAAAAUAGAUAUUCACAAUUGUAAUUGUAUACUAUAGUUAAGUGGUCAUGAAAUAUGAGGUUCAUAGAUAAGUGGUCAAAAAUAAUAAUAACAAAUAAAAAAAUUAAGAGAACUGAAGUCGGCAAUAAAAUAAAAUUAGGAAAAAUGAAAUUGGCAACUUAAUAAAAAAAAUAUAAGAAAACAAAAUAGUUAUGUCGGUAUAUUAUUGAGUCCAUAUAAAUAGAUAUUCGUAUCUAUGCCAAAAUACAAAACUAGCACGUGUAUAUAAUGAAAUACUAACCUACAUUUUUGUAAUAAAAAUUACUUGCCACUAUAUAAUAAAUAAAAGAUUGGAAGAUAUCAGGAACGAUGAGUUAAAUUAACGAAAAUAUAAAAAUGUUUCUUACUCUUAGAAUUUUUUGAAUAUAUUGAAAAAAAAAUUUACUUACAAGAGUAAUAAAAACUAUAUAUAUAUAUAUGUAAUUCAAUAAGUUAAUAUUCCAAGCAAAGUUGAGUCAAUCAAUUCUUUUAAAGUUAAUGUUGAUCACACCACAAAUUAUGCAUGGUUUACAUGGGGAAGAUAGAAAUUAGCAUGUUCAAAUUAACAAAGAAGCCGAGGGCAAGGAUCAAAUGAUAAAAUUAUCCCUGCUUUGGCAUGUAAGAGUUUUUUUUUGUUUUUUAAGGGUGUCGAGUAGCAGGCUAAUAGUUAUCAUAUAUGUCUAGUACUAAUAUCGAUGGUAAUUAUAUGAUUUGAAGUUGUGAACCCCAAUCCAUCUAAGUGAAAGCUUAGGAGUUUAAAAAUAAAGUAUUAUUAAGAACUUCUCUAUUUUAUACGUAGAAUACCAACCCAUUGAUUUAUCUAUAGACUUUAGUUCAAUAUAUGUUAUAUUUUAUUAGCAAAUUAAUAAGAGUUCAUCUUAAUUUUUAAUAGCCACAAUAUUUUAUUUAGGAUAACAUUACUGUUAAGGUUUUUUUUAUUAUCAUUGAUAAACUUUGUUAAGAGCGUAAAUGAUAAUUCAAGAGGGUUAGGGUCGAACGAUUUCCAAAACCAAGACUGGAUCCCAUAUCAAGAGUAUGAUAUUUCCGAUAACAUUAUUUUUUGCAGUAUUUUUUACAACCGAGUAUUUAUUAAAAAGUUGGUAUAAUUCUUAAUUUUUUCAUAGACGUAAAAGAAUCUAAAACUAGAAAUACGCCUCUUCUUUUUGUUACUAAGUGACCCGAAAUGUGCUUUAACAAAAUCAUAUCCGAUUCCCUUAAUCUCAAUUUGGUGCUUACAUUAAGAUAUACAAAAUAAUAUCUUUAAAUAUUUUUUCUAUAAAAGGGAACACAUUCACACUCCUCUUACUUACUGAAUCUCAUCACUUCGUCACAAACCCACACCCACAUUCUCAAAGAUGGGGUUUCCCACACAAAACCUCCCCUUGCUCAUUCUUCUCAUCUUCGGCUUCCUUGCCGUCUCCUACGCUCGUCACUGUAGCCCCAGCCCUCCUAAACAAUCACCACAUCCCCACAAACCGCCAAAACAUCCCCCUCAAACCACCUAAACCACAUCCCCACCCUAAACCACCAACCGUCAAACCACACCCCCACCCUAAACCCCACCCUCACCCUAAACCACACCCCCACCCAAAACCUCACCCCCACCCGAAACCUCCCACCGUAAAACCACCUCCGUCCACCCCAACACCGCCUAUUAUCAAGCCUCCGCCUUCACCAAGCCCACCUGUCAUAAUGCCACCAUCACCACCUGUUAUAACGCCGCCAAAGUCACCACCAACACCCGUCAUAACACCGCCGACACCAAUACCGCCUAUUAAAGAAGAGACUNNNNNNNNNNNNNNNNNNNNNNNNNNNNNNNNNNNNNNNNNNNNNNNNNNNNNNNNNNNNNNNNNNNNNNNNNNNNNNNNNNNNNNNNNNNNNNNNNNNNNNNNNNNNNNNNNNNNNNNNNNNNNNNNNNNNNNNNNNNNNNNNNNNNNNNNNNNNNNNNNNNNNNNNNNNNNNNNNNNNNNNNNNNNNNNNNNNNNNNNNNNNNNNNNNNNNNNNNNNNNNNNNNNNNNNNNNNNNNNNNNNNNNNNNNNNNNNNNNNNNNNNNNNNNNNNNNNNNNNNNNNNNNNNNNNNNNNNNNNNNNNNNNNNNNNNNNNNNNNNNNNNNNNNNNNNNNNNNNNNNNNNNNNNNNNNNNNNNNNNNNNNNNNNNNNNNNNNNNNNNNNNNNNNNNNNNNNNNNNNNNNNNNNNNNNNNNNNNNNNNNNNNNNNNNNNNNNNNNNNNNNNNNNNNNNNNNNNNNNNNNNNNNNNNNNNNNNNNNNNNNNNNNNNNNNNNNNNNNNNNNNNNNNNNNNNNNNNNNNNNNNNNNNNNNNNNNNNNNNNNNNNNNNNNNNNNNNNNNNNNNNNNNNNNNNNNNNNNNNNNNNNNNNNNNNNNNNNNNNNNNNNNNNNNNNNNNNNNNNNNNNNNNNNNNNNNNNNNNNNNNNNNNNNNNNNNNNNNNNNNNNNNNNNNNNNNNNNNNNNNNNNNNNNNNNNNNNNNNNNNNNNNNNNNNNNNNNNNNNNNNNNNNNNNNNNNNNNNNNNNNNNNNNNNNNNNNNNNNNNNNNNNNNNNNNNNNNNNNNNNNNNNNNNNNNNNNNNNNNNNNNNNNNNNNNNNNNNNNNNNNNNNNNNNNNNNNNNNNNNNNNNNNNNNNNNNNNNNNNNNNNNNNNNNNNNNNNNNNNNNNNNNNNNNNNNNNNNNNNNNNNNNNNNNNNNNNNNNNNNNNNNNNNNNNNNNNNNNNNNNNNNNNNNNNNNNNNNNNNNNNNNNNNNNNNNNNNNNNNNNNNNNNNNNNNNNNNNNNNNNNNNNNNNNNNNNNNNNNNNNNNNNNNNNNNNNNNNNNNNNNNNNNNNNNNNNNNNNNNNNNNNNNNNNNNNNNNNNNNNNNNNNNNNNNNNNNNNNNNNNNNNNNNNNNNNNNNNNNNNNNNNNNNNNNNNNNNNNNNNNNNNNNNNNNNNNNNNNNNNNNNNNNNNNNNNNNNNNNNNNNNNNNNNNNNNNNNNNNNNNNNNNNNNNNNNNNNNNNNNNNNNNNNNNNNNNNNNNNNNNNNNNNNNNNNNNNNNNNNNNNNNNNNNNNNNNNNNNNNNNNNNNNNNNNNNNNNNNNNNNNNNNNNNNNNNNNNNNNNNNNNNNNNNNNNNNNNNNNNNNNNNNNNNNNNNNNNNNNNNNNNNNNNNNNNNNNNNNNNNNNNNNNNNNNNNNNNNNNNNNNNNNNNNNNNNNNNNNNNNNNNNNNNNNNNNNNNNNNNNNNNNNNNNNNNNNNNNNNNNNNNNNNNNNNNNNNNNNNNNNNNNNNNNNNNNNNNNNNNNNNNNNNNNNNNNNNNNNNNNNNNNNNNNNNNNNNNNNNNNNNNNNNNNNNNNNNNNNNNNNNNNNNNNNNNNNNNNNNNNNNNNNNNNNNNNNNNNNNNNNNNNNNNNNNNNNNNNNNNNNNNNNNNNNNNNNNNNNNNNNNNNNNNNNNNNNNNNNNNNNNNNNNNNNNNNNNNNNNNNNNNNNNNNNNNNNNNNNNNNNNNNNNNNNNNNNNNNNNNNNNNNNNNNNNNNNNNNNNNNNNNNNNNNNNNNNNNNNNNNNNNNNNNNNNNNNNNNNNNNNNNNNNNNNNNNNNNNNNNNNNNNNNNNNNNNNNNNNNNNNNNNNNNNNNNNNNNNNNNNNNNNNNNNNNNNNNNNNNNNNNNNNNNNNNNNNNNNNNNNNNNNNNNNNNNNNNNNNNNNNNNNNNNNNNNNNNNNNNNNNNNNNNNNNNNNNNNNNNNNNNNNNNNNNNNNNNNNNNNNNNNNNNNNNNNNNNNNNNNNNNNNNNNNNNNNNNNNNNNNNNNNNNNNNNNNNNNNNNNNNNNNNNNNNNNNNNNNNNNNNNNNNNNNNNNNNNNNNNNNNNNNNNNNNNNNNNNNNNNNNNNNNNNNNNNNNNNNNNNNNNNNNNNNNNNNNNNNNNNNNNNNNNNNNNNNNNNNNNNNNNNNNNNNNNNNNNNNNNNNNNNNNNNNNNNNNNNNNNNNNNNNNNNNNNNNNNNNNNNNNNNNNNNNNNNNNNNNNNNNNNNNNNNNNNNNNNNNNNNNNNNNNNNNNNNNNNNNNNNNNNNNNNNNNNNNNNNNNNNNNNNNNNNNNNNNNNNNNNNNNNNNNNNNNNNNNNNNNNNNNNNNNNNNNNNNNNNNNNNNNNNNNNNNNNNNNNNNNNNNNNNNNNNNNNNNNNNNNNNNNNNNNNNNNNNNNNNNNNNNNNNNNNNNNNNNNNNNNNNNNNNNNNNNNNNNNNNNNNNNNNNNNNNNNNNNNNNNNNNNNNNNNNNNNNNNNNNNNNNNNNNNNNNNNNNNNNNNNNNNNNNNNNNNNNNNNNNNNNNNNNNNNNNNNNNNNNNNNNNNNNNNNNNNNNNNNNNNNNNNNNNNNNNNNNNNNNNNNNNNNNNNNNNNNNNNNNNNNNNNNNNNNNNNNNNNNNNNNNNNNNNNNNNNNNNNNNNNNNNNNNNNNNNNNNNNNNNNNNNNNNNNNNNNNNNNNNNNNNNNNNNNNNNNNNNNNNNNNNNNNNNNNNNNNNNNNNNNNNNNNNNNNNNNNNNNAGACGCAGCCGUUUGUUUAUGUACAGCCGUUAAAGCCAAACUUCUCAACGUCAAACUCAUUAUCCCUGUUGCUCUUGAGCUUCUUGUCAACUGUGGAAAAAAUCCUCCACCUGGCUUCAAAUGUCCCACUUGAUCAAUAUAUAGAGUUCUGAAAGUCUCUAUACUACUCUUGAAAGUUUUUUUUUUGUUGGUUUCAUAAUCUCUUUGAUAAUAAGAGGUUAAUUUGCAUAUGUGGAGCUUGAAACUACCUACUUCAUUAUAAAAAAUAAAAGGGAUUGUUUGAGUUUACGAUCUCAAUUUCUUUAAAUUUUAUGUUGUAUUGUACUUUUAAAAAAAUGAUAUAUUUUUUUAUUAUAACAUAAAUUUUUACCAGUUUAAGCUUAAUUAUAAAACAAUAAAUAUGAUUUUUAUAGCAAUUCACAUUGCGCACUGAUGUACAAGCAUGCACAUUGCAGUAUUACUAACUACAUGUGAAAUGUAUCAUACUUCAGUAUCUAACUCAAUUAUAUAAAUGAUUACAAAUUUGAUUUAUUACUAACUGAAAACUAUUUAACUCUACAGUUUUUUUUCUAUAACGUCGUGUUUGAAGUAAAUUCAAAUAAUGAUGUAACUAUACAGUGAAAAUGAUGUAUCAUGCAUGCAAUUCAUACCAGUUCCAAAAAAGUGAUGUAUCAUACUUAAAAGUAUUCAAUAUGAAUGAUUAUAUAAUAUGUCUGCGUAUUCUAUACAUAAGAAUUAAAAUAUUUAACAUGGAUUUACCAAACAUGUCGUGUAAGCAUUUGAAGUUUUUUUUUAUUAAGCAAAAAAAAAUCUAGGAGUUAAACUUAAAAUUUCUCAUAUUGGUAAACAGAAAGUAAUUGAUUAGAUCGUCAAUGGCGGAGGCACAUACAUUAAGUUGGGAUCAUUCACCCCUAAUAAAUUUUAAAAAAUUAGUGUAAUUUAUUAAAAUCCAUUACUAAUGUCCUCACUCAUAAAAUCAUAUAUAUUUUUAUUAUUUUUUUAUGCUUCCAAUAAAAAAAAUUCUAGCUCUGUCACUGUAGAUAGUAUUGCCAGAGCUAUAUUGUUACUGUUUAUAUAUAUAUAUAUAUAUAUAUAUAUAUUGUUACUGUUUUUUUUGUCAACAAUCCGAUAUAUAGAAAAUCCAAUAAAGAGCAAGUACAUAUGACACAUCAAAACCCUAUAUCGAAGCUCAAUACAAGAUAACAGACAAAUAAGCCACUAUCAACCCAAUAAUAGAUACAUGUAAGUAUACAAUUGGUUCCCCGGUUCGCCCUAUUAUUUGCUCCCAGGCACAUUCUCCAAAGCGUUGUAUCUCUGUUUUCUCCAUCUCUUUUCUGACGGUGGUUACUAUUCCUCUUCUACUGCUAUUCUACUGGUGAUCUACAUUUAAUCUACUUGGUUAGGGGUUGAACCUUUCUCUGGUCUCUGGCUGUUAGAAAAAGUCCGGCAAAAUCAUCUCCUCCUCACCGUACGUUUAUUUCUACAUCUUUCGCCGUUCUGCUCCAAUGAUUAUCUCGUCAUCUGUUAUCACUCUCUAUCUCUCACUACCUUCAUUGCAUCUUGCUGUCCCCACCUCCCAUGGUUUCAAACCGUUGCUUGCCGUCUCCAACCACACUUCACCAUCCUUCACCGUACCUCACCACCUUCUGCCAUCUCUUGCCAUCUCUCUUCGUUAGUGUGGAGACUAUGGCCUGCCGAGCGAUUUACUCUGAUUCCACCUUCCAGCUUUCUGCCCCCAUCGUUUUUGAAUCCUUCAGCUCUAUCUCAGAAGUUCGUAUGCAGAAGUUACUCUGAUUUCAUUUUGGAAGUGUUGAAUCCCUCAAAUUUAACCAUGUUGCGGCCUUCAGUGCAACUCCUUUCAAAGUUUUUCAGACAGUUCUGAAGACAAACUGCUCUCUAAAAGCCUCAAAGGUGUCCAGCGAAGCAACCGGCUGGUCACGCUCGUUUACCUGGUUUCUGGCUGCCACGUCCACUGGAGCUGCAGCUGCGCUCGUUAUGGUCUUCUUCGAUCAGCCUCAACCAGGGUAGAGGAAAAUCUGCUUUGAUAAGCUAUCAAGAGGCUCUGUGGCGAGUCACUCGGCUGUUCAGGCUCCUCCGAUCUUCACCUCCUACGAGCUGGGAUACAAUCCUGCCGGUUGUUGUUUUUCCUCUGCUAUGUUUAGGAUGCUUCCUCUCGGUGUUUCUCCGAUCAAAGAAACAAACGGCUUUCUCGUCCGAGCCAAUGUAAUCCUUGUGUAGCUAUGCUCCAAAUCCAAUCAAGUAGGAUUCACAUUUGCAUCUUCUGACCCUCUAUUCAUUCGAUUAAGCUAUUGUAAAAGACUUCCGUCUCCAUCGGUCUCCCAAUAUACCCACUUCUUAAUCUUGAUAUACACAUUUACUCCAUUGUUGGAGAUGAGGAUUGCGGCAACUUCCUUCUCAAUGAGAAGUGUAUUAAUCCCGAGCUUAUGGCAGGGAAACGUUUUAAUGUCUUUAUCAAACUGCCUUCUUGCAUAGCGGUCUGCACGAGACCAGAAGAAGUAAACGAUAUCGUUUCGACGAUUUCUGGAGGUAGAUUUUCAUCCUCAAAACCACAUGAUAACGUGACUAUAUCUAAUCAUUCCGGAUUUGCCGUGAAGAUAUUAUCGACGCAUUUGAUUUGGUCUCAAAUUCACAGUUAUUUUAUCAAGUUCUAUCUGUUUUAAAAUUUAAUGUAUUUAAUCUGUAUGGUCCAAGAGGAUGUUUAAUUCCCUCUGUUGUAUCUCGGUCGGCUAAGUUAUGAAAGAAUUCCUAUAUGGAAUAGUUUGAAUAAAAAAAAAAGAAGAUAAAUGUAAGUAUACGUGUAAAGACAUUAACGUAGGAAGAUAUCAAUACCCAUGUAAUAUUCUAAGAAGGCCUUCAAUCCGCGUCGCUGCUGAACCGACAAGAUAUGCCGGCAAGUCUCUUAUCUUCCAUGCCACAGCGACCAGCGACUAAACUUCAAUUUUGUUACAAGCCUUGAAGUAGGCCUGAAUUUUUCGGGAAUUGGGACGAGAAUUGACGGGUAGAGGAUGGGAAUGAGAAUUUCGGGAAUCUGAAUAUACUAUCCAAAGUAUUCCCACAAAAUAACGGGAGGGGAAUUUACGGGUAUUGGACGGGAACGAGAAAUUUGGGAAUCAAAACAUACUUUCCAUACAAUCCCAAAAUAAAAUAUAAUCAGAAAAAGAACGGGAAAGAGACGGGAAAAAUUUCGGAUAAUUCAGAUAAUUAGAUUAAAAUCAAUUUUUGUUUUUUUAAAAAAUUAUUAUUUGUUAAUAAAUUGGAAAAAUCAUUAUUUAUUAUAAAAAAAAUUCAAAUAACCGAAAUCUCUAAAAUUUUACUUUAUAUAAUUACCCAACGGGAAGUUCGGGUAAUCCCAUUCCCGUCCCUACCCUUUCCCUUACCCAUUUAAAUAUUAUUUUCAAUCCCGAAUGGGAAAUUAUAAUUUCCCUUUCCUAAAAAAUUCGGGAAUUUCGUGACGGGUACGGGACGGGACGGAUUACCCUACCUUGAAGUGUACUUAAUCGAUCUCUCUUUUUUUUGCCUCUUGGAAUAGAUAAACUGCAAAAAGAUUAAAAUCUUCUAAAAUUUUCCAAAUCUUCGAUUUUCAAGGAAGAUCUGUUGUCGGUCAGAUGAGAUCCAUUGAUCUCCAAAAAAGAUAUGAAAAUAUGUUGCAAAACUUAGAAAAAAAUAUCAGUGAUUCCAAAGGGAAGGUAAGCAAACCGAAAAAAGAUCGAGGAAUCCAGAUUUUAGUCCGAAAAGAUCCAAACACAGUCAAAAAAUAUUGUCCGAUAAACAGAAGAUACAACCGAACAAAUUUGAAAUACAAUACAAAUAUAAAAACUGGACGUAUCUAGUAAAAUUUUUUAUCUCAUAGAGAGAUCAGAAAUCGCCUCUCUCCUCUGAUAAGUAAGAGAGAAGAGCUAGAGAGAAAACCCCAUAUAUAUUAUACUAUCAAUAAUUAAUAAGUACACACUCUCGGAUUUAAACUUAAAUGAGACAACAGUAGCAAUAUUAUAUAUCUACAUAAUAUGAACCAAACAUAUAUGAAUUUUUUUGUGUAUAGUAUUGUUCACUGGCUAAAUAUUUGAACUUUGAGUUGUAAGAGAACACAAAUGUACAAAUGUAAAUAUGAUCGUUAAAAAUUAACUGUUAGGAAAGAAAGAAAACAACAUUAAGAAAUAACGAUAGCAAAAGAUCAAAAAUUCAUAUAUCCCUGAGUGAGUUAUAAUCUGAAAUUGGGCUUUCACCCUAUUUAUAUUUGGAACAGCUAGGACUUAUUAGAAAAGUCUAUUUUUCAUAUUUAUGUAUCUUAGACCAUCUCCAUUAUAUUCUACUAUUUUUUCUCUAAAAUAGUAAAACUUUGAAAUAGAAGUGUAUUUCUCUCCAUUGUAUUACUCUUUUUUUUUUCAGUGAAAUUUUUUCAUUAUAUUAUACAAAAGUUGGAAUACAAAGUUAGAAUACGAUUUUGAAACACAAAGCCGGCAGAAAACAAGAAAUCCCCGAAAACUAAGGCCGAUACAGAGGAAACACAAGAUGAGAUACUAAAAUGAAGUUAAAAUCUCGAAAACACCGGAAAAGUUGGAAGAACACAAUAGUCGCGGAACUACAAAACUCAAAUGUCACUGUCGAAAGGUACAACAACCGUAAACGGAAGAGAACCGAGGAUAGAGAAAACUGCAAAGAAUAAGCCCAACUAAAACGAUUAACCCGAACAUGAGAAGCAAAGACGAAAAUCUAAAUCCUACCCACCUAAUCUUCUGCCGAAAAAGUCUAAGGCCUUGCUUGGCAUUGGCUUUUAUGGCUGUUAAACCAAUUUUACAGUUUUAAAAGUCAUAUUUUUGUCAAACACACUUUUAUUUCAUUGAUUAGUUUUAAAGUUUUAAAAGCCAAACUUUUUGAUUUUGGUCAUGAAUUCUAAAAGCUACGUGGGAGUAGCUUUUAGAAAAAACUUUAACAAAACUAAAUACAUUUAAUUUCUUUAUCUAUUUAAUCUCUUCCCAGGAAUUAUUCAAAUGAUUUUAUAGAUUUAUAUAUAAAUAAUUGCAAAUUUAAUUUAAUUGAUUAAAUCUUAAUUUUUUUCUGCUUUCUUUUGAGAUCUAUUUCUUAAAAAAAAAUUAAAUUUUUGUAAAUUAAAAGUUAGCAGUUAAUUUCUACACUUUUUGAGAUAUAUUUAUUACCAAACAAUUUUUUUUUUUUUUUAAAUAACAGCAAAAGUUUUUACAGCAAAAGUUUUUACAGUUAAAAGUCUACAGUAAAAGUUCUUACCAAGCAGAACCUAAAUCUAGGACUUUGCAUUCCCACAAGCCAAAUGGAUAGACAAGAGGUUAGCCUUAUAAGAACAGAUCACGGAAAAGACUACGGGAGAAAACUAAUUAUUCUUCUAAACUAAAGGCGGUGGAAGGACAUACACUUUAUAGAUUCAACGAACAAUUCGAAAGGAUAAUCACGUACUAUCCUAGACUAGAUAACAGGACAAACCGACACUUCUCCGAAAUCAAAGAGAGAGAAACCAUGACCACAAGUAACCCACAGACAAGAGCUCCACCCCCAAACUAAUAACUAUUUUACUUAGCCGAGGAGGAGAAACUAAACCCACUAAAGGGAGACAUAACAAGAUGGACUACACGAAACAAAUCCAUCGAAGAACCAACUAGAGGAGGAAAAUACCAACAAAAGCUAGCACAGCCACAGCCACAACCACAACAGAUACAAAGGAACCGCCGAGCCGCAGAAAACCGGAAGCAACCAAAGUUCCUUGCAGAAAUCACCACCACAAGCCGCUAAACACCCACACGAAGACCUCACCACCACUCCAAUCGCAAAGUCUUCACUAAAGGAAACAGCGAAGUAGACUGAGGAAAAAUCAAGCUACCAAAGAAAUAAGCAAAUAAAAGCCCUCUCACAGUGCCGGUGAAGAGCACCGGCCACCGGAGAGGCGAGACAGAACUUUUUUUUUUGCUUGGUUGGUAGACCUAAUUCUCUCUCGGGAGAUUGUAUUACUCUAUUUUUACUCUUUAAACAUAUUUUAAAUAUAUCAUAUUUCUAUUUUAUUAUUAUACUUUUUAUUUGUUAAAAGUUACAAUUCAAUCUUUACAAAAAUUUCAUUAAUUGUGAAAUUAUUUAAACUGAACAUUAUUAUAUUAAAAACUACAUUAUAUAAUAUAAAAAUAAUAAAUUAUAGUGGAUUUUGGUUUAAACAUCACCAUUACAAUAAUUUUCCCACAACAAAAUGCUACAUUGCCAAAGUUGAAAUAUUUCAUGAUAAAGAUAAACUUUUUAUUUCUUCUUAACUAAAUAAUUUGGUUUAUAUUAUCUUUACAAAAUUAUUAGUAAUUAAUAUUAUUUAUAGUAGCCUUUAGAGGAUUUAAAAUGAUUUAUAUCAUUUAUAAAAAAUAGUGUUGUUUCAGUUAUAAAUAAAAAGAUUUACAACUUUAUUAUAGAGAAAGAAAUAUAGUUAUAUAUAGAGCAAAAAUAGCAUUUUUUAUUUUAAAAUUAAUAAUUAAAAAGUGGGUUGGAGCUUAUUUUACUUCAAAAUAGAGUUUAGAGUAAAAAUAAAAGUAUGUUAGAGAUGUUUUUAGAUAUUGUGAAGCAAACUAAAUUGUGGACUUUUUUGUGCUAAGUAUGUGAAUUUCAUUAAUAAUGAGAAGGUUUGUAAAAUAAUUACAAAGGGGCUAAACAAGAUAGGAAAACCCUUGGCAAAAAAACAAACGAGGGAAAUCCUAGAUUAGUAAACGAAUAUCCAGGCCCAGAGCACAGGCGAGUAAGGCGAUGGUCUAGGGUAUCCAAUUUGUGGCGGCAUAUUUUGGUAAAUAUUUUGUAUAAGGAGUAUAUAUAAAUAAACAAAAUUUAGAAAUUUUUUAUAAGAUAAUAAUAUUAUACGUUUUUUGUAAUGUUUAUGGACUUUUCAUUAAAAAAAUAUUGGUCAAGGGCAUAUUUUAAAUUAAUAACUAUUUUAUUAAACAAAUUCUGUUUUAGAAAGAAAAAAAAACGAUAUUUGCGUUUUAGAACUUGAAGGUUUUUUUUGUUUUUUUUGGUUUUUUAAAAUACCAAAAUAUUCAGAAACCUAUUAAAGUGCUUGAUUUUAUGAAAAAAAUUUGGAGGAUUGUUAUCAAAACAUAGAAGUUGAUUAUCGCAUAUAGUUGACAGUUCUGAUAUCGGUUGCUACUGCUGAAAGAAAUUUUUCAAAGCUGAAAGAAAUUUUUCGAAGCUGAAAGAAAUUUUUCGAAGCUGAAAGUGAUAAAGAAUUAUUUGCGAUCAACCAUGUAACAAAAACAAUUAAAUGGACUAGUUUUGUUAUCUAUUGAGACAGCUAUAGUUGAAAAACUCGGUUAUGAGAAUUUAAUAAAUGAUUUUGCAAGAAAAAAUGCAAAGAAUAUCAUAUUUCAACAAUAACAUAUUAGUUUUAAUGUGUUUUUGUAUUUUUUAUAAACUAUUUAUGGUUAAAAUGUUUAUGAAAUUUUAAUUUUUUUUAAUUUUUUAAAUGUUUUUUAUUUUAGAAAAAAAAAUUUUAAAAAAUAUAUUUUAAAUUUUAGAUUAAGGCAUUUAAAUUGAUUAGUUUGGUACUGAGAAUAUCGGACAAAAAGAUAUAGUUCGGACUACUUUUAAAUUAGCCACGCUUACAUUAGGUCACUAAAGGCUUUCUUUCUUCUUCUUGGUUAUAAACUUAUAAUAGCAUCACGGUCAUCACAAUCGAUCUUUUUAAAGAUUCAAUGGUGAGUGGAAGAGAAUCGUUGAAGAGCCUGUUAAUCCUUUCGAGCCAGAUGGAGUAUAUUGUCGCCUCGGUAACCAAGCGUCUAAGCGUUCGAGAGGAAGUGUUGUCUUUGCUUCCUAGCCAGCAAGUAAAAGCGUUCCAAGUAUGAAAUGCAAAUGAGUUGUACCCCAACCUCCUGAGUGCUAAGUCCCACAGCUGCUCAUAAAUUGUGGAUUCAGACAAAAAAAAAAAAAAAUUAUCGGCAUGUUUAUUUCUUGGAUUAGUCGAAAGGCGUGUAAUCAACUAGUAGUACAAAGUUCUUUCAUGCAAGAUGUGUAAUAGGCCAAUUCAAUACUAUCCGGAUCAUCCAAGGUUAUUUUUAAAAUAAAAUAAAAAAUCUUCCCCAUUGAAUUACCUAAAAGGGAAAACUAUAAGGAAAAAAAAAAACGAUGUGUCUCUAUAUACAGGCCUAAAGAAUGGCUUAUAUAUUGGGCGGUAAUAAAGUGCAAUAUUAAUGGGCUCUAACUUGCUUUGCUUAUUCGAGUCGACCCAAACUGAUACAAACCAAAAUCAAAAUACAAACCCUCCAAAAAAUUUACUAAAGAUUUAUGAACAAGUUAUUUAUAUAACAACAAAAACAAGUUCCAUAAACAAUAACAAUAUAUAAAGUAGUAAAAAGACAAGCAAUAAAACAACGAAAAUCAAAUUUGAUAACUACUUCUUUCUUUGAACAGUUUUACUCGCUGAAAGAGUGUCCAUUUCCUUUCUUCAUAUUCACAAUCGAUCUAAUGCGAUUGACACAUCUCCCAAUAAUAACACAACAGACAUAAUAUGAAAAUACUCAAUAUAAAAUAACAUAAUAUGUUUUGUUUGUUCUGAAAAUGUAUGUAUUUACGAAAUAGCUGGCAAAUUUUCAAAAUGUGUCAGUUCAUCCAACAAAAUUUUAUUGCAAAGUUAGCUAAAUUUAGCGUAAGAAAAUGCAAAUCAAGACAAAAUAUAUUGAGCAGGAGAUAUCAAAGGAUAAGUUAAAAAUGACAAGACAUAAUAAAUAAACUUUUUCACUCAAUCGUGUCACAAAAUAGUAUGUUCUUGACAUUUUUGUGCCACUAUAAUAUUCCGAGUAUGUCCUCUAUAUAUUCCGAGUAUGUUACCUUCUUCAAAAGAAGUUCUUCUACGUCUUGAGGUGCUAAACGAUAGUAUUAUUAUCAGUUUAACUUUAUGUGAAGCUAGCAUAAUAGACAUCUCGAAAAUCAAUAAUACUGUACUGUUUAACCAUAAAAAAAAAAUCAAUAAUAUACUAAGAUAUGAGACAAAGACAAGUAUAUGAUUAUUUAACAUUGUAAACAUAAAAAAGAUUAGUAUAAGAUUAAUACAAACAAGAAGUAAUUUUACAAUCUUGUAUUCCGCAAAGGCUCUAAAUGAAAACGGUGUGGUGGGUGCGAGAUAGAUAUUAGGACUGACGGAAUAGUAUAAUUUUUCAAUUGAAAACAAAAAUAACAAUUCACAAUUUUCGCCCCGCACUUAUUUCAAUCCAUCAUAUUGUUUCCAUUGGUGCACAGCUACUCUCUCUGUGAAAUUAAAUUAGAUUCUAGUCCAUUUUAGAGGUUUUGAAAGAGAAAUGUUCAAACUAAUUUUAAUAUAGAUGAAUUUGCCAUAUGACCAAUUAUCGAAAUCUAAAAAUAAAGAUAUAUAGCAAUCUUGUUAGCUUAUUUAAGUGAGUAAUUAUGGUCACUAUGAACUGCAAGUUCAAAAACCUCUUCAAACACACACGUUCUGGUUGAUAUAGAACACAUAAAAUAAAAUACUUUGUAACAGAAUUUUUCAUUAUAUGUAGAGCUCGCAAUAGUUUAUGUGCUUUAUAAAAGACUAUACAUAUUACUUUAAUCCAAAAAGACUAAAGAUUAACAUUAUGAAUAAAUUCAAAAGCCGAAAAUUGUAUAUCCUCUUAGAGUUGAAAGAGUUACUAUAUAUGAUAUCAAUAUAAAAAUAAUCAGAAUAAAAUGCUAUUGUGGUCUAUAUAGAACAUUUCUGAGUUACAAUAAUUAUCCACUUUUUUAGAAAUUUAUGUACGUUUUAAAAAAUUCAAAGCAUGGCAUAGGCGAAAAAAUUCUGUGCAUUUUCUAGGCUCUAAUAAAGUUACGACCUUGAAUCCAUUUUUCUUUUUAGGUUUUGAAGCAAAUAAGGUGAGAGAAAGAGAAAAUAUAUAACAAUAAGGAAAAAAUGAAUAGAAAAUAAAUGGAGAAAUAUCAAUAAGAAACGUGUAUAUAAGGUAUCAUAUGGGUCAUAAGAAUAAGACAUACAAAAUAUCACAUUCAAAAAUUUGUUUGGUUAUUUGUUACAUAUGACAAGGGUUUUUUGUUUUUUUUUAUCUAAACGAUUUUUGUUUAUUGCUCAUAAAUCCUUUUAACAAUGAUUCGUUCAACCGAUUAGAGUUAAAUUGUGCUGGCUCUCUUUAAUCAAUAUUUGGCGAAAAAAAUGGUAUAGAUUAAAAGGCCUACAACUGUUAAAGGUUAAAGAAACCUAACAAACCAGAUUGACUUUAUUUAUAUAAAAAAACCCGAAAUUACGUAAUUCACUCAAAUCCUCCAAUAUAACCAACCGUCUUCAAAUUUACCCUUCAAGAAAAUAGAAAGGGGAAUGUGAAGAGAAUUGAACCAAAAGAGAGUUUCAAGGAACAUCAUGCAAUCAUCGACCUUUGUAUGAUUGAUUCGUUGAGCGAUGACUAUCCAUACUAGCCAACUAAAGGAGAAAUUAAAUUUUGAGAGGAAUUAAAAAAUCAAAUUAUGAAAAACGACAAUUUUUAUUAAGUAUCAUCUCAGUAUUUCUUGCAAAGUUAUCCAUGAAUAUUAGAGUUUCAAUCCUUCAUUUUCCGUUUCAAAAAAAAUAUAUAUACAUUAAAGUUUAUCAGUUCUUCAUACACAUACUAAAAUAUGUCUGGAUUAUUUUGUUCGUAUCAAGAUUUACUUUUUAUAACUAAAAAUAUUGUUUUAACAUAUGUAUUUUGGUAGUAAAAUAUCAAAUGUUUCAUAUAUAACUAGAAAAAAUUUUGGGUUAAAAACGGCAACAUUUUAGAAGUGUAAAAUAAAUUAUGAAGACAAUUAUCGUUUUCUGAUGUUCCAAAGAUUUGCCUUUUUCCUGCUGGUGAUGGACUAACGUGUCCUUACGACUAGUACUCAUGAGUACUCAGACGACUAUUAGUUUUUUUUUUAUAUGGUCGAGUCACAUGCAUGCAUGAGAUUCAUUCAUAACGUCACAUUAUCCAUUUCCCUCUUUUGUUUUUAAAAGAAAAUUAAAUCAUUAAAAUAACAGACUUCACGGGUUACACUGUUUUAACUACCCGCCAAAAUCCUACCCGCCACCUUGUAAUGGCGUCUAUAACUUUAUUUUGUUUUCUUCACCGACAAUAAAUCGGAAGGACAAGAUUAUAUAUGGUACUUUAAAUUUCAUGAUUUUAUCAUACCAAGUAGGUUUAUAGCUCUAAAAACUGUGAAGAAUAUUUUGAAAAUUAAAUUAGAACAGAUAGAUUAUAUGUUGCGACAUUGUCAAUAUAGGAGUUAAAUUGAAUAUACGGUAGAAAAUGUUCAGUUAUAAUUUUAUCGACCCACUACAAGAUUACAGGUAAAUAGCAAAAAUCCUACCGUUUUACGACUGCUUUUUUCUGAUUACAUAUUAGUCGUAAAUAAGUUGCUAAUUAACGAUUCAUUUGCAACUGAUUGGUUUGGCCGCUAAUUGGUAAUAGUUUUACGACUAAGUUGUUUUAGUCAUAAUAUAGUCGUGAAGUCGUCGAUAUUUAGUCAUUAUUUUAACGACUGCAUAACUAGUCGUAACCUGGAGUCGGUAUAUUACUGUUUUCGUGUAAUGACCACAGCUAGAAAUUUAAAUAUUAAAUAUCUCUAACAAAACAAAUAAAACAAGCUUAUAACAUUAAAACCAAAAAAGCUUAUUAAAACUCUAUAAUACGUAAAAAAAUCAGAUGUUCAAAAAUUUAUCGCCUUUUUUUAUAUAGUAAACUUGCAGUUUUGUUAUUUCGAACAGAGUGAAAGUGUUAAAAAAAAAUGAUAAGCUUGAAUUAGUAAAUGUUGACCUGUUUAAUAUUUGAAAUCCUAUUCUGAAUACGAGCACCAUGACAAGUAGUACUAUUACAGUACUAUAAUAUAGUAACAUUAAUAUAUAUAAUAUUGAAAAAAGCUACAAGGAGAAUCACCAAUCACGGACGUCAUUCAAUAAUUAUUUCAAGAGCUGAUAAAAGGCCCCCUAAGCUAGACCUAGACGUAAUUAAUAUCUUUCAUCAAAAGCGGGAGACUGAAAAUUACAAGAAAAAGAAUCGAACAAUUUAAAAAUAUUACAUGAUAAAUAUAGUUAUCGUUUGUUUUUGUUAAUGAAUAAUAAAUAAUGUUCCAAAUGAAACUGACCGAAAGAACCAAAACUGUAUAUGUUGGUGUGAAAAAAAAACGUAUAACAGACUAAUAUUAAUAACUAAUAUAUCUAUGAGGAGAGGGGGUGGGGGGAGUAAUUACAUACUUCAUCAAUUAGUGAAAACUUUAAACAUGUAAUUAAAUAACUUGGAACUUCGUAAGAUUUAGCAAUAUAUAUAUAUAUAUAUGAAUUUUGAAUACUGAAUAUCAUAGAUUUGGGAUUCUAACCAAAACUGAUUCUCUUUUCCUAUUUGUAUAGGUAGAGACAUAAGCUAACACCCAAGAGAACUUGCCUAAAAUCCUUAUAAAAAAAAAGUGGACCUAACAAGGAAGGAACAAGAACAAAAAUGAAUGAGAACGAUGUCUUUAAUUAUAUCUUGUCACUAUAGAGAAUGGGAGGUGUUUCUUAAGUCAAAUAAUAAUGACAAAACCCCUUCAUAAAUUGUCUAUCCACUGGGCAUUACACUACAAAAAACCUUUGGUUGCUCCCAUUGUUUUCACCCAACAAGUACAAAAUAUGACACUGCCCAUUUUUUUUUUUUGAAAAGAUUAUGGCAAUAAUUUAACUAAGGUUUAAUUAACUGACUAAUAAAACGCUUGUCGAUUAGGCAUUCUCUAAUGUUAAAAGACUAAAGCUUGACAAUGUCGUCGACCGGGACAUUUUUACGCGUUGAUUUUGUAGAUAAUUUAGCAACUUGAUCUGAUAUUAGAUUAAGGCAUAAGACAUAAGAAAUGAUUCUUAAAGGGUUUUGGCAUUUUUUUAUAAAGCUAAAUUUUGACCAAAAAGGCAAAUACGAACUAUGUUUUUUUUUGGAAUACGUACAUGUAAAGAAAAUCAAAAUGGAGAUCGUACAUUCUAUAAAUUUUUUUGGACAUCAUACGAACUAUCGUUAUUGAUAAUAGAUUCUUUCGAAAAAAAAUAAAUAUAUAUAAGACAAUAAUUACGUGAAAGUUUAUGGUGCCGAAUGCUACAGUGAUAGUUUUGUUUUCAAAACAUUUCCAUGUUCCCUCGUACGUUAUAUAUUGGCUUAACAUAUAUGAGGAUGUCAUGUCCAAGAACUUCAAACAAAAUUCUAAUUUUAUUAUUAUGAAUGUUUUGUUUUAACCAGAAAAAUCAUGGUUAUUGGCCAAUAAUCUGUUCUUUUAUAUAAUAUUCGUGGUGGAUAUAUGGAAGAAGCAUGGAUUAUCUUUUUCUAAACGGAACAUUUUGGAUUCGAAUUCAAGUACAAUAGAAUGGAAAAUGCACUCUUCUAGUUAGCUAAAAUAACCGUGCUUAAUUAAUUAGUAUUAUAAUAAAUUAUCAUUGUGUCAUAGUGGAAGAAGCAUACGAUCAUCCAUUCAUAUUCAUAAUUGACCAAGUCCUAGGUUAAAUCCAGAAACUAAUUCCUAGUGAUAUGGAUAUUAAGGCUUAACAGGGUACAUGGUACAUCCAUGUAUAAAGAGAAGAGAAACACACUAAUGAAGAGUAAAAAAACACUAGGCAGAGAGGAUUUUUCAAAAACCUUGCAAUCUCUGAGUCGCAGUGGUUUUUUUUGUAACUAUUUGAUCAGUAAAAUUCAUUAAUAAUUUGUUUAUGAUUUCGUGUGUUCUUUGUGUUCUUCACACGAACUAAAUAUUUUUUUCUCCAAAAACUUAACAACUACAAAUAGGUACAUCAUCAUACAUAAGAAUCCAUAAAAGUAAUUUUUUGUAUCAAAAAGUGAAUAGUGAAGGUUUAAUGGCUGUAAUGCCACAAAUUGAAAAAAAAUAAUCUGUUGUGCCAUAAACAAGUCUACAUGUCAUAAUAUAUAUAGAAUUCCCAAUUUAUCCUUAAUGAAAGUUUUUGUGGUAUUUUUGAAUUUGGUGAAAAAAUAAUUGAUUUUAUUAAAAUUAAUAAUUUAAAACGAAAAUUAAUUAAAAAAAAUAAUUUGUUUUUCAUGCUCUUCUUCUUCUUCGUCGGUGGAUUCUGAAAACAAGCAAAUCUCAUUUUCGCCGUUGAAUCCUCGCCUCUUCCUUUUCUUCUUCAUCUUCUGCAAUCAGUUUCUUAUUUUAUCGCCUUUAUCCACCACCAUUGUUGAAGUUUUAAAAUAUAGUUAGGUUUUUAUUUACAGAUUUGGGGAUUUCAAAAUUUAGGGAUUUGAUUUGCCAAAAUUGUUUGUUCUUCUAUAUGCAAAUCGGGUUGGUAUGUGAUGAUUAGGUCUUUGCAUAGAUAAUUUUUCGAAUUCAGUUGUUAAAUCAUGGUGAUUCUUAGGUAGAUUAGAAUUAGAAUCCGAGUUCAUCACCAAAUCUGCAGAAAAAUGACAACUGGUACAAAUGGUACAACAAAGAGAUAAGAGGACAAUUAGUACAACUGGUACAACUAUGAGAUAGAGGACAACUGGUACAAUAGGUAUAACUAAGACAACUUAAAUAAUUGUUGAUUGAAAAUUCUUUUAUUAUAAUUGCGAAUCGGGUUGGUAACCCCGUUUUAUCUGACGAUUAGCAUGGAUAAUUUUUUUAAUAUAGUUGUUGAAUCAUAGUGGUUCUUAGGUAAAUUAUAAUUAUAUCUGAGUUCAUCAGCAAAUCUGCAGAGAGGGACAACUAGUACAAUUAUGUACAAUUAUGUACAACUAUGUACAAAAAUUGACAAUGCACAUAGGUGCACAUGUUACCUUGACGGAUAACUAGACACUUAGGAAAGUUAAUCUAGUCUAGAGGAUUUCAUUUUUGGCCGAAAAUGCUUUCCGGAUAGAAAUAAACAAGGUAUAACUGGACACAUAUAUACAACUAUAUGUAAUUCUUUCAUUAGAAAAUAAUAAUGAUAAAACUAGAAAUAUAAAAAGCAAACAUCCACUUAAAGAAAUGUAGAAAAGUCGUGGUACUUUGUACAACUAUGUACAAAAUUGACGGCACACGUGGUACUUUGACUGCGCACAUAUUCUUUUUUGUCGACGCACAUGUGUAUUUUUAUUAAUUUUAAUAGAUUUUAAUUAUAAUUUUAAAUUACAUAAUUAUACCAGUUGUACCAGUUGUACCAGUUGUAUUUCACACGUGCGUCUACAACAGACAACAUAGUUGUACCUAGUUGUCCAGUUGUCCAAAAUUUGUAAUAGUUGUCCUUUCAUCGAUUUUGUAGUUUUUUCAGUUAUCCUUCGACAGAAAUUAUUAUAUUCUAGCUGUGCACAAGAAUUUCGAACAUUAUAUAACAGCCCCAAGGGUUUUACGUUAUUAUUUUUCUAUUUUUAUAUUUUUGCAUAGACGCUUGCAUAAGAUUGAUAACAUUGUCAAACACUCUUUAUGAUACAAAGAAUUGAUAAUGUUAACAAUCUUAUGAUGGAAAAGAGCCAAAAAUAUAAUUUUGCAUCAAUUAUAAUAUGAAAAUGUUGUAAAUGGACUACAAUAGUCGAAAAUUAUGUGGACAACUACAAAGUAAUAAUUUAUAUCAAGGGACAACUGGAAAAAUUGCUAAAAUCUCCAAAGGACAACUAUGAAGAAUUUCGGACAACUGGACAACUGGACAACUGGAUACAACUAUAUACAAAAUUGACGGCGCACGUGGUACUUUGACUGCGCACAUGUCUCUUUUUGUCGGCGCACGUGCGUCUACAACUGACAACAUAGUUGUACCUAGUUGUCUAGUUGUCCAAAAUUUGUAAUAGUUGUCCUUUGAUCGAUUCUGUAGUUUUUUCAGUUGUCCUUCGACAUAAAUUAUUAUGUUCUAGUUGUCCACAAGAAUUUCGAUCAUUAUAUAGCAGCCCCAAAGAUUUUGCGUUAUUAUUUUUCUAUUUCCUAUAUUUUUGCAUAGACGCUUGCAUAAGAUGGAUAACAUUGCCAAAGACUUCCUUAUAACAUAAGGGCUGUUUCAAGUGAAACCAAAAAUAUUUGGUUCUUUGAACAAAACAAAGUUUUAUUUUAUUAUUUCUAGUAUAUACGUGAAAAGAUACAGUUUUUAGGGUAUGAGUUAUAUUGGCUUUUAAGUAAAUAAUAUUAGGAAUUUAUUUUUUAACACUACAAUUAAAAUAUAGUUGUCCUGAGUUGCACCUAGUGGUCCUGGAGAAAUUCAAAAUACAAAUAACUCCAAAAUAAAUAGUAAUGAAAGAAAUCAAAGAAAUUCAAAACACCAAUAACUCCAAAAUAAAUAGUAAUGCAAUAAAUCAAAGAAAUCCAAAAUACAAAUAACUCCAAAAUACUCCUAUACAAUCUAAGGCUAUCGAGAAUGAAAAUUCCUCGGCUAAAAUGUAUUUCCUUAGCUAAAAUAAAAUCUUUUCGGAUAAAAUAAACUCGAAAACUUACACAAAUUAAGUUUCUAUGCUAUUUUUGCUCUGAAACCACUUAUCUAAUUUAUUAUCCAUUUUUGUCUUUCGGCGACGUUUUUUGGAGAAUAGAAACCACUUUUUUAUUUUUUUUGGUGUAAUUCGGCAGUAUGACAAAAAAAUUCUUGUAUAUUAUCCGAAAUACUUCACUUAGUUACAUUUAUGUGUGCAAUUCAUUCUCCACAUAAAUUAUCUACUCCAAAACUGUUUAGUUUCAUAUAUCGCAAUCUUCUUACAUACAGUAUCUUAUCUAGUAAUACCGAAUAAGUUAUCUGCUCCAAAUAUGAGGUAUUAAAUGAUAUAAAAUCUAUUGAAUUGCUUGUGUGGCUGAUGCUCAUUAUCUCUUGAAAAUAUAGUAAAACAAUUCUUAAUUAACAAUUAUUCAAGGUGUCGUCUUAGUUAUAUCCAUUUGUACUAGUUGUCCUCUAUCUCAUAGUUGUAUAAGUUGUACUAGUUGUCCUCUUAUCUCUUAGUUGUACUAUUCAUACCAGUUGUCCUCCUCUGCAGAUUUGGUGAUGAAAUCAGGUAUAAUUAUAAUUUACCUAAGAAUCACUACGAAUCAACGAUUAUAUUUAAGAAAUUAUCCAUGAAAAUACCCAAUCGUCACAUAAAAUUGGGUUACCAAAAUAAUAAUUUAUAUUAAGGGACAACUAAAAAAAUUCUAAAAUCACGAAAAGACAGCUAUGAAGAAUUUUGGACAACUGGACAAUUGGGUAUAACUAUGUACAAAAUUGACGGUGCACAUGUUACAAAGUGCAUAUGUUCUUUUUUUGUCGACACACAUAUUUUUUUAAUUAAUUUUUAAUUAAUUUUAAUUAUAAUUUUACAGUUACCAAAUUGUACUUAGUAUUAGUUGUACAUAGUUGUACUUAGUUGUCCAUAAUUGUAUUUAAUUGUACUAUAAUUAUACUUAGUUGUCCAUAGUUGUACUUAGUUGUACCAUAGAAGUCAGAUCAUGAAACUUCUAUGUUCAGCUCUACACCUGAGCUUUUGCAACUUCUUUUUCUUCAUUGGCUGCAGCUAUUAGUUCAUCAAACUUCUCUGACUUCAAAGAAAUAACAAAUAUUCAACAAGACAACAAAUUCGAUUCUUUAUCUCUAAUAUUCAACAAGACAACAAGUUCCUCCAUAGAAUCGAUUUCUCUUUUUGUGAAGAAUGUAAGCUGAAAAAAAACACAGAUUAGCUUCUCGUUUUAUAGAACUUAAGCCUCAAGGGAACACAAACGAGUUAGUCUUGAUGCACCAUCUCUCCACCAAAGCCAUGAUCGCGUCGUAGACGCUGGAACGCUGGAUUUCUGCCACACCACUGCGUUGGACUCAGCCAUCGCAUUUACCCACUCGAUCCAAUUUACCAACGGCAAAUCCUAUCCAGAAAAAGAGAAUCUCACCGACGGUUUCUCUGGAUCCGACGUUUCUGGCCGAGACAUGAACGCAUCAAGUGUAAGCUCGAAAACGUCAUCAGAGCUUGUUUGGCGGUGGUGUAAUUAAGGAGCUGUGCCGUUCAAAGACGUUCAAAGACGUUCAAAGACCUUCGAACCGGAGAUAGAUCCUGGAAAGCUAGACGCCGCGAAGCAAAGAAGGGGAUCAUCAGGUGCAAAUCUAAUUGAUACUCAAUUGUUACAACGGCGAGAUUACCUCAUGCGCAAAAUCCCAAUUUUUUGUUGAGAUGAAAACCAGACCAAGUUCAGGGACACAAGCUUUCUUCAAAUCCAAAACAAAGCUAUUAAAUUAGUCUCUGCAAAUCCAAAAUUCAUGUAUAUAUAUAGAACAAUGCUUCAUCAAUUUUCCUUCAUUCAAAAGUCGAAAUCACUUCCCUCGUGGCUGGAUUUCUGGCAAACUUUAAUUUCAAAACCCAGAAUAGCUUCACUUCCAAAUGCUCUUCGUUGGUGAAACAACAGCACAUUCGUCUUUGUAUAAUUCCCCUUUGCGCCAAAAUGCUUCAUCGAUGAGAGUUGAAGGUAUAGAUUUUUUUAAUUGUAAAUUUAAGAUGUAAUUUGUGUAAUUAUUUGGGGAUAAUCGAUUUUGAAUUAACAAAAAAAAAGGAUAAAUUAAUAAAUGAAAAUAUUUAAGGAGGUUGGAUGGAUAUCCAUGGGUCAUUGGGUUUGGGUGGGUUUGAUCCUGGUUUUAGUGUAAAUAAAAAGACAAAUAGGGAGAGGAUAGUAUUCUCCAAGUUUUUCCUUAUUAAAAAAAAAUCAAAAUUAAAUUACAAAUUUAAUACAUGGCAUUUUGGCUUUUUUUUUCCGAGAGUGUGGCAUCUUGGCCUCGCGCUCAAUAGUGAAUGCUGUUCCUAAAUUUCUAUACAAAAAGAUAAAAAUCUACAACUACAAAUAUAUGCCAAUUUAGGAAAGUAUGACAAAACACUUUCUUUUCUUUUUGUAACUAAGUGAAGGGUACGUGCUUGUUAAAAUCCAAUAACAAUAAUCUAAUCACAAUUCGGUGCUCACAAUAUUAAACAUAAAAGAAAUCUCGUUAAUUAUUUUUCUAUAAAAGGCUACACACUCCUAUAUCUAUCUACUUACUCAUCACUCAUUUUCACAAACCCAAACCCUUAUUCUAAAAAAAUGGGGUCUCGAACACAACACCUCUCCUUUCUCAUUUUCAUCCUCCUCGGCUUCCUCGCCGUCUCCUUCGCUUGCGACUGUAGCCCCCCUAAACCAUCACCUCACAAACCCCCAAAACACCCCGUCAAACCGCCUAAACCACCUGUGUCAAACCUAAACCNNNNNNNNNNNNNNNNNNNNNNNNNNNNNNNNNNNNNNNNNNNNNNNNNNNNNNNNNNNNNNNNNNNNNNNNNNNNNNNNNNNNN
rnacentral:lncRNA from 1 species